UGUUACUUACUCUUGUGUCCUGCCGUUCAAAAGCCAUAGCCCUCACCUGUAAGUCUGGGUUCUGGACUUCUGGAGCUGAGUAUGUGUUCAGGAUCUAUAACAUUAACUUGAUAGUGGUUCUCGUGAGGAACUGAUGUACUGUUUAUGCUGAUAAAAGUUGGACAGUUGGAUUUUUUCAUUCAAGCUUUACUGUGCUCCAUGAUGUGUUUUGGCCUUGUGCGAUCAUAAUGCUAUCCUAUGUGCUACAAUUUCAAAAUGUAAGGUAUUAGUAGUUUUGACUUAAGUCAAACUUUCCUAAUUUUAACCAAAUUUAUAGAAAAAUGUACUAACAUUUAUCACAUCAAAUUAGUUUCAUUAAGUCUACUAUGUAAUAUAUUUUUAUAAUGCAUUUUUUUGGUAUUGUAUAUAAACUUGGUUAUAAUUACAUGAAUUUAAUUUACGACAACAAACAUCCUACAUUUUUAAGUGUAAUAAUGAGGAUAGGAUAAGUUUAGCGAUCACUGAAAAUUGCCAAAAGAAAACAAAAGAAUAUACAGAACGCGUUCACAUAUCUCGGCCCACAUGAAAAGCCCAUCACACUCGUGGCCCACUAGCACUAAUGCGUUGCAGCGAACUCCGUCCCGUACUCCCGUUGCCGUCCCCCUUGCUUUCGCUUCCAAUCCACCGAUCAGCCGCGGCUGCCGGCUCGUGUCCGUCUCCCCUCUCCCGGGUCCCGGUUCCUCGGCGUCUCGCUCGUCAACGCCAGCGCCGGCGCGCGCUCCCACCGCCGACCCGCGCACCUCGCCUUCGAUUCCGCCGACACACGCGCUGCCGCAGGGGAGGACGGAUCGGCGCUCCGCAGGUGCAUCUCUUUCCGCGGCGCGCGGAUCUAACUAGCUACUUUAUCUUGCAUUCAGUGGCGUGCGAUAGUAGCUGGGGGACUCCUGCGGGCGGCUUUUGCGCGUAGGUCUUUUUCGUUGCGGAUUAUUGUGCAGUAAUUUUGCUUGAAGAACCAAUAGGAUCGUGUAUAAUUUGGUAAGUGUAGGGCAGUAGUUUUGGGAGCUUUGUUAAAUGGUCGUCGGUUGGAGAAGCCUCUUUAUGUUUCCUCCAUUAACUCGGGUGUACCACGCUGAAAAACAGAAAAAGGAAUUCGGCCAGUGGUUCACUGUCGCACCACUUGAACCCUAUCGGUAGAAUUUCUAUGCACAAAGUGCAAAUUAAUGACCGAUCUGAAGAAUUAUAAUGCACAGUUUUUGGUGUCUGUUACCAGAACAGUCUUUGUUCUGGCAUGCUUGUUCCAUUGUAUUUUCACUCUGGAACUUAUUUGUUCCUUCUCCAGCAUACUUUGCGCUUGUAUACGUGAUUGAUUAAUUCAAAUCAGACAUUCAGCAAACAUCUUUUCAUAAUCCAUGUCCAAUACAACUAUAGGAUUUCAUUCUCAGCAUUUUAUAUGAUGUUAAGGUAUCUACUACGCUUAUCACGAUAAUAAUUCAAUAUUCCAACCCUGGAGGUAAUGAGUAUGGUUUUUUGGAAGCAGAGAUAUUUCCCUCUGCUGCUGGCUCUAUCUGUACUGAUGGCCUUUAGGCAUCUCGUUGGUGCAGGCUUGCAAGCAUGUAUAUCCGAGUGAAGCGCAACAAGAGUACCUACUUCAUUCAAUGUGAACCAACAGAGACAACUUUGAGCAUCAAACAGAAGUUGCAUUUGCUAAUAGAUCAGCCUCCUAGUAAUCAGCAGUUGGUCUUGUUGGCUAACAAUGAUGUGCUGGAAGACUCAAAGACAUUGGCGGACCAAAAGGUGCCAUAUAUUUAGCUGUUUCUGUACUCAUUCUUCUAAAUGAUUUCAUUUCACCCGUUCAGUCUCUACAGCCUAUGCACAAUCUCAUAGAAACAUCUGUCAAGUUAAGGCAGCUUGGUAAUGCAGAUAGUUAAUUUGUGUAGUCACAAUACAGUUUAGGGGCUGUUUGGAUACGAGGUGCUAAACUUUAACAGUGUCACAUCGGAUGUUCGGAUGCUAAUUAGGAGAACUAAACAUGAGCUAAUUAUAAAACUAAUUGCAGAACCCUGUGCUAAUUCGCGAGACGAAUCUAUUAAGCCUAAUUAAUCCAUCAUUAGCAAAUGGUUACUGUAGCACCACAUUGUCAAAUCAUGGACUAAUUAGGCUUAAUAGAUUCGUCUCGCGAAUUACACUCCAUUUGUGCAAUUAAUUUUGUAAUUAGCCUAUGUUUAAUACUCCUAAUUAGCAUCCAAACAUCCGAUGUGACAGGUGUUAAACUUUAAUAAGGGGUAUCCAAACACCCCCUUAAUUUGUGUAGCCUUAGCAUAUUAAGUUUCUCUGAAGAUUAAACCCACAACUUGUUUAAUUCAGAUUCCAGUUGCGUGACAUUUUCUAUUCGUACUUGUUCAGGUGGAAAAUGAUUCCGUUGUUGCAUUGGCACUGAGAAAAGGUAUACUGCUGACUUAUUAUUAAUAAUGAUUUUGUCUAUUUCCCCCCUUAUCUUUCAGGUAGGGCUUUCAGCUUUGCGUUCUUUACUUUUCUUUUCUUUUCUCCGCUUGUUAUGCUUACUCUUAGCAUACCAUUCUAUGGCUAUGAUUAUUGUCCACCAACUGCUUAUUUUGUAGAAGUUGCCUUUAUUAUAUAUUAGGUCAUCAUUCGCUAAUCAUCCUUUAUCUGUUUUCUGGACUGCGUGUUCAACUUACCGAAUCAUAUUAUUGCUGAGGCUAGGCUUUCCCUAGCAGCAACUUGCGCUUUUCAUAGAUUAAAAAAAAAUCAAUAAGAACCUAUCAUCACAAAGUUAUUUAUUGUAGCAGGUUGCCCCUAGUCUAAAUAAAGUGCCUACUGAUGCUAGUCAUUUUCUAGUAUCUCAACCGACGAAAUGCAUCUUCUUGCUUUACUCGUUUGCAAACGGGUUCCCCUUCCGUAGCUAUUGCAUUUUCAAUCAGACAAGUCCUGACUGUAAUAUCUGUUCUUUCACCAGAUGAUGAUGAUUUUGAGGAAGUUUUCAUCGCCAGGCCAGAGGAUUUCAUGUCAUCAUCGUGAUGAAGAUCAGUUCAUCAUAUCUACAGGGGGACCAGGGUGCUUUCUCCGAGCGGAUCCUGCUGCUUGCUCUAUGUUGGUCCCUCUAGGAUGUGGGAUGUAGCUCAGUUGUCCCUCUGGGAAGAAAGAUAAAACGUUAUAAAGAUCCCAUACAACCAUCGCGGAUGGCAUUAAGCUUUGAUUUUGACGCACCAACUGAUUCCGUGCACUCGUACCUAAUUGUGUCAGUCCUGAUGUUGGGAUCAAACACACCUAAUUGUCCUUUUGUACCAGCUCUGGCAUGUGAGAUCCAUCUGUGCCCCCAUCACCUAAUACGCUUGCUGUUGCUGCUGGUCUUUCUGCUUGCCCGUUGCUUUGAUUCAACUACGUUGUCGGUCACAUUACUGAAAACGCAUUAGGUUGCUAGCCAUCGGUUCUUAUUGAAGCUUGGAUGAUUUCAUCUGGACUGACGUCAUGUUUUUAAUUCAGCAAAGUUUUAGCCUGCUCUAGUACACCAUUGUAGCAGGCUUCGAAUUGGACGUCAAGUGAAAAUUUGCGAAUGCGGUCCAGCGGGAUAAAUUAUUUUAAACAAUUCAAAUUCAGAAGUCAAAGCACCAAGCAUUUCCUUGUUAGAAAGGUAGCAGAGACGGCAUUCGGUAGCUUGGGAGAGUUGGGUUUGGUGGCGGCAACUUUUUGAACGACGGCGUGGACAAGGAUUUUGUUCACAUAUCAGGUUUUGUGUGACAGACGAAGGAAAGGAGAAGAGUAAAGUGCAUUUUCAUCCCACAACAUUCUUGCGCGAUUUGCCACUCUAAUUUGGUUGCAGUUAUCAUCAACUAAUAACCCGUGAGGCCACCUUGAGUCAAUAACCGUAGGCUAGGAUGUCAAACAAAACAAUAUAUUGAUAAUUCAAGAGGGUGGCAGAUUGCUAAAUACCACCUCAUGCAUCCUAAAUUACCAUUUAUUUUGAUUUUUAUACAUAUAUAGCUUUUACUACGUAUCUAAAUACAGUAUAUAUUUAGACAAAGCAAAAAUGAACAUUAAUUUGGGAUGGAGGGAGUACUAAUAAAACAAUAAUGGGAAUGAUGUAACCCAUCUUUUAACAAACAACAAAACUGAAGGUAAAUUGGAGUAAAGAACGGAGUAAUUGCAGCAAUUGCCCAUGUAACUAGAAAAAGGAAAAAAAAAAGAACAGCAUUUGAUGGCUUCAACUGGAGGAAAUUACCGGUCUUUUGACCAAGUGCAGCGAACGCUCCGGCUCAUUCAUAGCCUUUGGUUUGGCGCUUUCGGAGUUUAAAGCGGCCUUGCUUAGGCACUAAUCCUUCCACGGCCGCGUUUCAAACCAUUUUAAAAAAGUCGAAGCACGGCGUCGUGUCUGAUCCUCUUGUUUGGUUCUUGUUCGCGAGACCAAGCGAUGCUAGGCAAAGUCGAACGAAAGAGAUCGCGAGGACGAGGAGGAAAUCUGCGUUGGCGCUGACGAACCAACCAGGUGACGACCCUUCUUCUCCGCCUCCCUCCGCGUGUUAGGUUGCUCACGCGAUUUCGCUGCGGUUACAGCAGCUGCUUCUCUCUCUAGCCGCCGGCGACUGCUUCUGCGGGUGUCCAACGCGGCAAAGCCUACUCGGUUCGGCCAGCUGCGUGUGAUCCCCUCGCGCCCGAAUCUCUUAGGUUGGCUUUGGCGGCUGAGGUUUUGGGGGAGUUCUUUGCUUCAUAGAGGCGUGUCAGCAGAGCUGAAUCUCACCUCGAGUUUUAGUUAGCCGUACGUCUUCGGAUCUUUCCUUUUCCUCAUCUCAUCUGGUGGGAUUCAUCUCCAUUUUGGAGUUCAUUCAAAUCCCACCUGGGAUUACGUCGGCGCGGCUGCCGUGGGAUUCUCGGUGUCGCGAGUUUUGGUGAGAGAUUCUUCCAGCAUUUGGUGGAGCUUUCAAGUUUCAUCUGCUCUUCUUCUUCUUCUCCAUUAUUGUACCAAAUCCUAUUCGAGGAUUCCGUUUAAUCUAUUCUCUCAGCCUUGGGCCUCUUUGUACCCAUCCAAUUUGUUACUUGAAGCAGAUUUGCGAUUAUCACGUCAUGCAUUGUGGAGCAUGUUCCUUCUUUUAUGAGCACCUAGCCGACUGUAACAAUCUACAUUUGAUUUACCAGGAUGCACUGUGAUUCUUUCGCACAUGGUGAGCUUCUGAUGUCAAUUAGGAUUAAGCAUGUUUCUCUGCUGCGCUCAAGUUGGAGAACAAGAAGCCAGCUUCGACAGUAGUUAUCUGUCGCAAGCAGACAAUGGUAUAAGCCAGUGCUUCUGGACCCUGGUUAUUUUGUCUCCAGUACUUUCUGGUACCUAUGCCUGAUCAUUCGCAUCGUGUUUGAGCUUGCAGCACCCAUUUUCACUUAAGAGUUCGAAGGGAGCACCAAUUCUGCCGCGACCGGUCUUUGUUUUCUUCGUUGCCUUAUUUGGAUUCUAUGUAUGCUACCUCUCCUUCAAUCAGAUAACACUGGAGAAUAAAAGGGAAGGGAAUAGUGGAGAAGAACAAAGGGCAAAUAUUUGCAGAAAGCCUCAUGUGCCAUAUGAGGAGCUCCGUUACACGCACUUUCCAAAACCUAGGAGUUAUAGCAGGUAACAUCGCUGUGACAGUGAGGAUAGAUAGAAUCUCUUUGUAGUCGUGGAUUAUGUAGUAUAAUUUGUGAGCGAUGUUGAUACUGUUUUACAUUCUUCUGCAGGGGGGAAUGCUCAUGUACUCCUGUUCGAUUCUUUGUAAUUGUGUCUAUGCAAAGAUCCGGAAGUGGAUGGUUUGAGACAUUGCUAAAUAGUCAUCCUAACAUUAGUUCCAACGGCGAAAUCUUUAACAGAGUGGAUAGAAGAGAAAAUAUCUCAUCUAUCCUACAAACACUUGACAAACUGUAUAAUUUGGACUGGCUCACCAGUGCAGCGAAGAAUGAGUGCACAGCUGCAUUUGGACUGAAAUGGAUGCAUAAUCAGGUACUUUGAUAUUGGGUUUUUUAUGGUCCUUCUGAACAUUUAGAAGGUUAGUUUGUAUUUGAUAGUUAAGCUUCUGAACUUUCUUUUUUUCUAAAGAAAAGAAACAGCAUACCAUGAGGUUAUUCCAGUGGCAACUAACAUUGUAAUAUAAACUACAGUUCCUGUGGGUGAAGUAUGGGGAAACCUUUUUACAUGAUCUAUUUUCCUUGAAAAAGUUUGAAUGCUGUUAGAAUUAUAGAUAGAAUUCAACUGUGCCAUACUGCAAUAAGGAUGCUUUUACUAAAGCUAAGGGACCAACUGCCAACUGCUCACAUGCCUGCUGUUCUCAAAACUCUAGUCUGUACCAAGCAUUCACCGUUCAAGCUUGCUAACUUGUAAAAAUGAUAAUCCAUGUUGAUGCUUGUUCUGCCCAUUUUAUCAGGAUGAGUGGAGUUAUACUCAUGCCUACCGGAUGUUAAAUAUGUGCUUGGCAAUAACUUCCAACAUUGUGUUUUUCUAGGGAAUUUUGGAAAAUCAUGAUGAUAUAGUUAGUUAUUUGAACAAGAAGGGUGUCUCUGUAAUAUUUCUGUUCAGGAGAAACACAUUACGCAGGGUUAUAUCUGUGCUGGCCAACGACUAUGACAAAGAUGCUAAGCAGUUGAAUGGAACUCACAAAUCUCAUGUUCACUCAAAAGAAGAGGUAUCUUUGAUGCACAAACAGUUUCAAAUAGUUUACUGACUUAGCUUUGUUCUUUUGGGUCCCUUGUAUCCUUUUGAGCAUAUUGCUGUCCGUAGCACAUUUUACAUGAGAUGUGGCUUAGUCCAUAUAUCAUUUAUUUUAGAACAAAUUCGUGAUUUUGAUUAUGGGAAAAGAGAACAUUAAAUCUGAACCGACAUUGUACCAUCAACUUACCUGAUUCAUUUUGAGCAGGCUGAGAUAUUAGCAAAAUUCAAACCAGAGCUGGAUACAUCGACUCUGAUCACAAAUAUCAGAAACAUUGAGAAGGCCAUCAGAGAUUGCUUGGAUCACUUCAAGAGUACACGGCACAUGAUGCUCUAUUACGAGGAUAUAAUCGGCAAUAGCAAUGUAACCUAACUCAUUUAAAUGCCCUAAUGCAGGACCAACAAAUUCUCAGGUUAUCUGACAUUAUCUUUCUUCACGCAGGCACUUUCCCAGGUGCAGGAGUUUCUGAGAGUUCCGGUGAGGCCCCUGAUGAGCAGGCAGGUGAAAAUUCACACGAGACCACUGCCAGACCUCGUCAAGAACUGGGAGGACGUGAGCAGCAAACUGAACGGCACAGAGUUUGCUCACUUCCUUGAUGGUUCAGAUUACGUCAAGUGAGAGAUACAUAUGCGAGCAGACUGGUUAUUCACAUUUGGAGUUGUAGUUGCAACAUGCUUAGGAUUCUUUUGUACAGAUGAAUUUGUAAAGAGCAGGGAAUAAAGAUUAAAGAUGACGAUCACAUAUGCUGAUGGAAUUGUACAAAAUUUUCCUGGUUUUCCCUUUGUUCUGUAGCGUUACGAUGACCACUAAGAUUGUUCAGAAUGUAGCUUAAAAUAGCUGCAUUUGAUUAUGGCAGUUUUCUAUACCUCCCAUAGACCACAUUAUAUUCAAUGCUUUGAAUGAAGACACGGGGCACGGAAAAUGGAAGAUUCAAAUUUACACCUCUUAAUUUUGAGUUAGGAGCUCAAGAUUGUAAGAUUUUUGGUACCUGUUCCUUUCAUGAAAGGCCAAACAAAGCCCAAAACUACACGAAAAAUGACCACAAGGAUCUACACUAAUCAACUUCGGUAAAUUCUUGUACAAGGACAAAAUGCUGCUCAAAACAUGUUUACAUGUAACAAGUACAACAUCACUGAGCUCAAGCAAACACAAUGGUGCACAAAUGAGUGCUUCCAUCUUAGCAGUGGAAGACUAUUGACGCCGUCUCUUUAUCCUCUCAAGGGCACCCAGCUGCUCAUUCUCUUGGGCACCAGAGCUUUCCUCCUGGCUCUCAGCGGCUCUCUUGCCGAGCUCGCCAAACACAGCAGCUGGAACACUCUUCUCUGCAAUUUGUACAUCCGGCUCCUCGUCGUCGCUCUCAUCGGGCAGCUCAAUAUCCUCAUUGUUACCAGCUUGUUGCCUGCUGCUCUCAGCCUGCGCCUCUACUCCAGCACUGACAAAGCUCAUCAUCCUGUUAGCGGAGGCUGGGGCAGUGCUUUGCGCUGCAGAAGGUGCUGUGGAUGGUCCAGGAGCUAGUUGCCUUUCCAAGGCUGCCAUCUCGUCCUCAGGAACGCCAGCACGCUUCAGAGUGUCGACUGCCUCAUCCAGGUUUAGCCUCUGAUCCCUCUGCAUCAAGUACUCCGGUAGUAUGAAAUGUGUCUGCACAACAUAAGUCAGUAUGAAUUUGUGAUACAAGGCAAGGGUAUGUGUUCAUGUCAGACUGCAGAUUAAAUUGAUUGGUGUGACAUACCUGACUGCGACUAGCAGCCACUGUACGUUUGAUACGAAGCAUCUCCCUAAAAGUGUCUUCGUUACCAUGCUGGAUCUCAAAGUCAUUCCACUUCUUCCAAAAGUCAGAAUUGUUUGGAUCAGCAUAGUUGGAUGCGUGCACAUAGAUAGCACGCGAGCGGUCAAUUUCUCCAAGGCUUCUUUCUAGCUCAGCAAAUUUCAUGCACAUUGUCAGAACAUCUCUGUCUGGGAGCCCAGAUUCAAUUGCUUGCUGCAAACGUGACAACAAAGAUAGCAGAGCAAAGUUAGCAUCAAAACCAAAGUUAGCAUCAAAACUAUCUGUAAACCAGUGAAACAUUUGAAAAUACUGAAGACACAACCAUGCUAAAUCUGGAAUGUAGAGUUUACAACAAAAUAGGCAUCCGGAAUUCUAGAUUUUUUUCCUAGGCAGAUGGGUAAGAGCGAGUAUGGAAGAACCAUGUAUACUAAAUCCAAGCAGUUACUAAUUAGUAGAUUCACUUGCCGAAAUGUUGUAGCAAAACUAGAUUCGAUACUGCCAGAGUGCAAUUCUAUAAAAAAAAACUACAAGACAACAAUCAAAAGCAGAAGGCAGGAUUCCUAGACUGAGCAUAGAAGAAACAUUUAUAUUAGUUUAUCCAGGUACUAAGCAAUAAAAACCAGCAUUAACAAGAUUAGAUCUAUACCAAUUUCUUUCAUACACUACAAAUCACGCCUUGAAACAAAACUAGAUUUCAAAACAAGAAUAUAAUACAGAAAGUGUAGCAAAAAACAAUAAGAUACCAAUCACAAGCCGAAGCCAAAGAAGGAUAGUGUGUUACCUCGUAUAUUUGUCUUGUCCUUGGAACGCCGAACAGCUCAGCAGCACGUGCUAUAUAGAUUUCAUACAUGGCCAUUUUUUCACUGUUAGGAACAGCCCUUACAGCUUCAUCAUAAACAUUCAUAGCACGUUUUGCAAGACCAUAGUCUUCCUCCAGUUUGGCCCAUUGUAAAUAUAGGGGCUUCUUUUCAUCUGGAGGAGCCUGAUCAAAAGAAGCAAAGUGUAAGUACAGGAGCAAGAUUUCAUCUAAAAAAAGUACAGGAGCAAGAUAUUGGAAGUAACUUUCUAAAGAAAUUAAUACUGAAAGCAGGAAAAUAAAAGGUACCAGUGUCUAAACAAGCCAAUCAAGCACAAAGAAUAAUAUGACAUAAAAUCAACAGGCAGCGAGGGUCACAUGGUAAGAGGAGAAUCACAAAAACAAGUGCAGUUUGCAAUUAAAGAAACUUCCCAUGGUGCUAAAAUUGCAUUAACAAUCAAGUAUUUUUCAUGGCAUGCGAAAAUGAUGAAUUUGAGUAGCAUAUAACCACAAAAACCUUUUAGGCUUAGGCAAGAAUGCAUGCAACAAGGCAUGGGAGUAACUUUACAUACCUGUUGGACAGCUUCAUGGAAAAGCUCUCUUGCUCGUUCUAACUUGCUUCUCUUGUAUCUCUGUACAAACUUUGUAAGGUAGGUCACCCAGAUGGCCUUAACAUGGGGAUACUUGAAUAUUUUCACGCCCCUUUCAUACACUUUAAAUGCAUCUUCAAAAUACCUGUGCUCCUGUUGGCAAGAGAAACAGUAAAACAAACAUAAUAUUAGCAAAAAUAUAUUUGAACUUCAGACAUGUAGACUUUGGACAAAGAUCUUACCUCAAGAAGAUAUGCAUAAUUGAGUAUUAUCUGAGGAGUAGCAAUUCGUAAAUCCAAUAUUCUCUCAUAAACGGCACGGGUAGAGUCCAAGGUUCCAAGGCUCUCCUCCAGAUCAACGUAAAAGCUCCACAGUUUCAAAGAUUUGUGUACUUUCAUUUGGACAGGUUCGUUCCCCUCAGCAGCAGCUGCAUGAAUCAUAUAGUUAGCAAGAAUGAUAUGUAAAAUACACAGGAAAAUGGGAGAUUAACACAAUCAAACAGAAUAAAUAUACCUCGCCGUUUAACCUCGACAGAGGGCUCUGCUGUUGCUUGCCUCAUCAGCUCAAUAGCCUUGUCAAAAUUGCUGUGUCGCAGCUCCAUUUCCGCCCAUUCACACCAGAUACUGGCUAAGUGGUCAACUGCCUUAUAAUUCACUUGAGUAGCCCGUUUGAAGAUAUCUUCAGCACUAUCUAGACGACUGUGUUUCUCAUACAUCUUUGCAAAUGCUACCCAUAGAGUAUGGGGUUUCCCAACUGCUUUCAUUGGGUCCACGGUUUUCACGGCCUCAACAUAGGUCGCUACUUGCCUUGCAGGAUCCUUCUCAAAAAGUUUCACCCUCCUGCAAAUAUUAUUGCAUUGUUAGCCAAUUACAUCAAGCUAGAGAACACCAAAGGACAAUGUUCAUUAAUCAUCAGUAUGCUCAGAAUAGAGAACAUCUGGACACUACAUGUUCGCAUCACACAAUAUCACUUCUUUAAAGGUUUGCAAUCACUAAAGAAUCACUAACUUGCCCAACUAUAGAGAAACUGCAUAAGUACUUACAACUAUGUGCUAGGAUAUCAAAUUAACACACAAAUACCUACCAUAGUUUGUUUUGGAAAGGGGCAAAACAUUGUUGCCAGUUGCAAUGAUAGUAACUCUGGGGAUAAUGUAACUGGUUUCUCAAGAAUUUUACAACUAAAAUUGAUGGCACUAACCUACAAUCUAGAAUAUCGAUAACCUAUCUUGUCCAAAUUUCUCACAAAGAUCUACUGGAAAUGAUGAAAGCAGGACGCAUUUGAAGGGCAACAUGAGGUGAAUAACCCCUCAGGCAUAUUAUGGGUGACUAGCUUAAUCUGCACACAUCCAAUUAACUAGUCUGCAUAGAAAACACAGUUAAUGAAAUUGAGGUGCUACAAAUCUCACCUGUGCCACUCCUCCACGUUGUGUGGGUUCUGUCGCAACAGCACACUGCUAAGAAGCUCUGGUCUGCGAUCCAACAGCCGCUCAAACCUUGCCAUCCUCAAAUCAGUAUCGUCCUCAUCGUUCAACCAGAAUUCCUCGAGGAAUUUCUUCGAUAGUUUAUCCAUCCCAUUUUUCCUGCUCCCUCCCUCAUCCUCAUCCUCAGCCCCUUCUUCCUCGGCAGCCUCCAGCUUUGCUGCAAGCAUACUCUGCUCAAACUGUGUAUAUGCCUCAAACACCACGCUGAACUCCUUCACGGUAACAACCGAUGAAACACCCUCCUCAAAUACAUCUCUAGCUUUUUCGAAAAGGCCUCUCCUGACAUAGUAAUCAGCCAGCGAGGUCCAAAGCUUGCCAACCUCGUCUGUGAACUUCCGAAUCCCACCCCGCAGGAUGGCGUCCACCUUGAGGCCAGCAACCUCAUCAGCAUGCUUGGUGAGGAUCUCGCAGAGCUCGAGCCAGAGCUGGUGCCUGGUCUUCCCCUUGACAGAGCGGAAGCCAUCAUCAUUGAGCACGGAAGCCAGUCGGUCAGCAGCCUCUUGCCAGCGGUUUGCAGUUAUGAGGAAAUUGAUGAAAUCCUCUGCGUGGGAGGGGUCGAACUGGAGGUAGCGGCGGAACACCCGGAGCGACGUCUCGACCGGGCAGGCCGGGAGCGACGCGAGGCGCAGGUACAGCGGCCAGAUGCGGUCGUGCUGCGUCACCGGCAGCGCGCGCAGGGCGCGGUCGAAGGCGCGGCGCGAGCGCGUGAGCAGGCGCUGGUCGAGGAGCGACGUGAGGUAGAGGACCCAGAUGCGCGGCAUCUUGUGCAUCGUCGCCAGCGCACGCUCGAAGGUGUUGUUGAGCGACGAGUAGGCCGGGUGGUCGAUGGGGUGGGGGCGCGCGUGGUCGAGGCGCUCGCGGAGGUAGGCGUGCCAGAGCUUGUAGCUCCCCGGGAGCGCCUUGAGCGCGCGCUCGUAGAUGACGGCGCGCUUGGAGAACGGCGCGGCGGCGCGCGCGACGAGGUAGCGCCACCACCCCUUGAGCUUGAACGGCUCCCGGAGGAUCUCCUCCUCGUAGGGCAAGUCGUCCUCGGACGGGUACAGCUCCGGCGAGAUUCCGACGGCCGGGGUGGCCGCGGCCUUUGCCGCCGCCGACGCCGACGCCACAGCCACCGGACCCGCCGCCGACGGCAUCCUCGCGCCGGGAUUGGGCUCGCUAGGGUUUACGAUUCCGCCGCGUUACGGUGGGGAGAGUUUCAGUGGCGAGGCGUAUCAGUCCGGGGGAGACGGGCGAGGCGGGCGGGUCCCCGGGUGUGGAUUCGCACAAUGCCGACGCGGGCUCGGCGUUUUUUGAUGGGCCGUGGGCGCGGGGUUGGAUCCGUUUCGGGCCCGGGGUGGAAACAGUGACGGCGGCGGUGUGGGAUGCCUUUUUUGGCAGCGGGCUGAGUUUUGAACGGUCGGUCAGAGCUGAUUGAUGGCAAAGGCAAACAUCUUUUCAAAAAAAUUUCUAUACAUACACUGUGACCACUUCAGUUGCUAUACUCUCCCCCCCCCCCUUCCCAAUAUUUUUUCUUCGUACACCUGAAAAACUCCAUGUAAAACAGCAUUUUGGCUUGCGAAAAAGCCCCAGUGAAAAUCAGAUGGGGACGCCCCCCCAUCUAAAAAAAACUUCAGUUGUGAUUUUGUAAAACUAAGGAUGAUUUUAGAAAAUUUUAUUGGCAACGUGGACCCCGGGCAGCACCUGACCUAAUCGUGCUUUCAUAGUGGUAACUCAAAAACUUAUAAAAUUUUGAACUAAUCCUUUUUUAAGCCUGCUCUAAGCUAAAUUUUUAGCGAUCCCAUGGACCAAACACACCCUUACUAUGUAAGGUCAACGGCUACAUACUUGAUCGUCUCUUGCACCAACCCUACUAUAAAAACGUGAGCAAGAUACAGAACGUGACAAAUUCCAAGUCAGAAAAUGUUCCGAGGCUCCAUCAUCAUGAAUUCAUGACCAUGGAUGUAAAGAAGCGGACCGGUUAAAUCAACAGUUCAUUCAGAUGAUGACGAGAUUGCUCAACCUAAUCAGACUAUGCUCAUAGAAUUUUGACAUUUCCCAGUACGCCGUGUCCUUUUUCUUUCAUUCUCAUUACUCUAUCAAUUUAUAUUUAAUUUGUGGAUGAUCAUAUAACAUUCGAUAAUCUCAUAUAUAAAAAAGUGUAGACAAACUAGAGUUUUGGCUGCGAAAAACUCCAUGUAAAACUCCAUGUAAAACAGCAUUUUUGCUGCGAAAAAGCCCCAAUGAAAAUCAGGUUGGGACCACCCCCUAAAAACUUCAGUUGUGAUUUUUGCGGAACUAAAAAUGAUUUUAGAAAUUUUCAUUGGCAUCGUGGACCCCGGGCAGCACCUAGCGAUGAUGCAAUGGAUCAUGACCUAAUCGUGCUUUCACAAUCGUAACUCAAAAACUUAUAAAAUUUUGAACCAAUCCUUUUUUAAGCUCGCUUUAAGCUAAUUUUUUAGCGAUCCCAUGGACCAAACACACCCUUACAUAGUAAGGUUAACGGCUAGAUACUUGAUCGUCUCUUGCACCAACCCUACUAUAAAAACGUGAGCAAGAUACAGAACGUGACAAAUUCCAAGUCAGAAAAUGUUCUGGGGCUCCAUCAUCAUGAAUUCGUGACCAUGGAUGUAAAGAAGCAGACCGGUUAAACCAACAGUUCAUUCAGAUGAUGACGAGAUUGCUUGACAUAAUCAGACUAUGCUCGUAGAAUUUGACAUUUCCCAGUUUCUUUCAUUCUCAUUACUCUAUCCAUUUUAUAUUUAAUUUAUGGAUGAUCAUAUAACAUUCGAUGAUCUCGUAUGUAAAAAAGUGUAGACAAACUAGAGUUUUGUGCUCUAUCUACUCGGUGUAGUUAUAACCCAGUACCGGUAGUAUCGAAAUUUAAUUUAACAUGUGUAAGAAUUUGUAACUUUAUUGAUCUGGUGAUAAAAUUUGAAAAGAAACAAUUUGAUUGGAACCGACGUACGUGCGUAAAUAUGAGUGGAUCAAUCAAAAUAUCUAAAUUUGAUACCGAGAAAAAUGGAACAAUCAAAGUUGGUGUCCAAGAUUUCUUUUCGAGAUUUCUCUUUUUUGCUCGUCACAGGGAGGCAUAGACAGUUUCAUCCAAAAAAAAAAAAAUCCACAGCCACAGACCUGGGUGGACCGCAGGAUCCAUGAUGGACGGCUGGUAGCGCCUCCCUGACUAACAACUGCUGCCAAGUCAGUCAGUCACGCACUCCUCCGGUCCACCCCCUUCCCCUUGUUUGUUUCAGUUUCAGAUCUCGACUCGACCAGCAGUAGUCGCCGGCGAGGGGUAAGGGCGGACGGACCACCGGACGCGAUGCCGCCGUCCCUCCAAACCCUGACCACCCCCACCCUCCUCCUCCUUCUCCUCACCGCGACUGCCGUUUCAUGCUCUGCCUUGCCGCCGGAGGACGGCAUCCGGAUCCUCUCUGCCGAGAAAAGGGUAUGCUUCUUUUCCUUCUUGCCGGUGGAUAUCCUCUUUUCCCCUUCCUCAAAUCUGGCAUGCCGGUUGCUUGCUUGUGAAGCGGAUCACUAGUACUGCUGUCCCUUUUAUUAGCUUUCGAGAUUACGCAAACCUGGAUGCUUUUCGUCUUCAUCUUGAGUAGAUAUGCAUAGUUACAAUUAUCGAUCGAAAUCCUGCGCUGUAACGAUCCGAUUGACUUAGAUCGGGGGAAGCUGUAAUUAUCGCUGUAAUUCAGGGUUUAAGAGAUAGAGGUCGAUUCCCUGCUAAAACCCUUAUAUCCGUGGCAAAUCUCUUCCUCUCAAUUCAUCAUGCUAUUUUUUAUUCUGAUAUACAAAUUCCAAUUGCCUGCAGAUCGACCUCACUGGUUCCAUUGUCAAAGUCUAUCUAACACUGAAGGUAAUACCUUAAUGGUCCUUUUCCUGAAUUGCCAGUUAGUGAUUCUCCUUCGUUUAUACUCACAGCACAUCAUUACCUUCCUUCCAGGUCGAGAAUGCUCCCGCUGCCUCUGAUGCAUCUCAAGUUCUUAUCGCCUUCACGCCCACAGAGGCUCAACAUCUCGCUAUUGUCAAGGCCACAAGAGCAGAGGGGAAGCGCAAGAAGAAGACAUAUGCGCCCCUCUCGGUUGAAGCCUCUGAUCUUGCCACCACCGCCCUGAAUGGCGCUCGCCUCUACUCUGUUCUGCUGGGCGCUCCUCUGAAACCUGGCGAGGCAACCACUAUCGAAGUGUUAUAUGUGCUGACACACUCUUUAGAGCCCUUUCCUGCUGAGAUUAGCCAGUCAGAGUCCCAGCUGGUUUACUUCCGUGACAGUGCGGUGCUUCUCUCGCCCUACCAUGUUCUGGAGCAGGUUACCUACAUCAAGACGCCGAGCAAUAGGAUUGAGUCCUUCACGAGGGUCGAUCCUACCAGUCGUGCUGGUACUGAAGUGAAAUAUGGCACAUAUAAAAACCAGGCGCCAAACUCAUAUUUGCCAAUCCUUGUGCACUAUGAGAAUAACCGUCCUUUUGCUGUUGUUGAGGAGCUUGUACGCAAGGUGGAGAUUUCUCAUUGGGGAAAUGUCCAAAUCACUGAACAUUAUAAACUGAAGCAUGGUGGCGCUCGGCACAAAGGAGUCUUUUCAAGGUUAUAUUCUUUACACCUUAAUUUCUUCAGCUUUUAUGGUUCUAAAAAAAGGCCUCGGCACGAAACAAAUGUGACUACAAAAUUCUUAGAUGUGAAAAGUGCUUUUGGCUGUUAGAUUGGCAUGUCGGUGAGAACCAUUUCAAUUUUUGAGUUUGGGAUGCUUACCCUUACACCAUCUUGUCAAAUGACCUAUCUGAUCAUUGUCCACUUCUGCCAACAAUAUAGGUGUAGUAAUGACAAAAUAAAAUAAUAUAUGGGCUGGUACCCUCGGCACUGCUUUGCUAGGUCUAUGUUUUUGUUAGUUAAUGAUAGUUAAUUUAGUAUGGACAUGAAUAUUUGAACCUGUAUGAAGUUAGGUAUAAGCAACUCAUUAGAUCAACUUAGUUAAAUGCUUCAUGGUUACUCAUUUAGGACUUUCUUGCUAGGCUUGAGUACCAGUCUAGGCCAUCUAUCAGUGGAGCGUCAUCAUUCAAGAAUCUUCUUGCAAGGCUGCCUCCACGGGUUCAUUCCGUUUACUAUCGUGAUGAGAUUGGUAACAUCUCCACAUCUCAUCUGCGCAUCGGUUCCCUCAAGGUACAGGAUAUUUUUGCACAAGCAUAGGAUUUCAAUCAAUUGCUAUUCUAGUUGGUAGCAUAUCUUGUGAAAAUCAGUGUUGGAAACUUGAAAAUCCUUCAAAAAUCAUAUCUAGAAGUUUUUGAAAAUCUUGAAACUGUACCUUCUAUAGAUGAUGUUAUCAUAUGAUGCCAUGCUAAAUUUUAGGUCUAAACCCCUUUGUGAGAUACAAAAAUCACAAAUGUCAACCACAUAAGCACAAAAGGUGCAUUUUGUCCUUCUAAACCAUGGAUUUAUCAUUUUUGCAUGUGGCUGGCAUUUAUGAUAUUUGCAUCUCUCCAUUGUGGAGUUUGAGCUUGAAAUUUUCUAUGUCAUCAAAUUGUACCCUUAUUUAUAGAUGGUGAGUUUUUCAAUAUUUUUGAAAACUUCUAGAGUUUUAAACACUUAGCCAGUUUUCACCGGAUAUGCUCCCAUUCUAGUUAGUAGAGUCAAAGAUAUCCUUUAUUUUACUUCAAUGUAAAAUUGUUUACUAAAGCUUUUUUUUGUAAUUCAGUCGGAACUAGAAAUUGAGCCCAGAUAUCCAUUAUUUGGUGGCUGGCACUGCACAUUCACCAUUGGCUAUGGGCUGCCAUUGGAAGAUUUUCUCUUUGAGUCAGAAGAUGGUCGGCGUUACAUCAACCUUACUUUUGGUUGCCCUCUAUUGGAUACUGUGGUUGACGAUCUUACAAUUAAAGUAAGUAUUUAUUUGCCCUCGAUAGGCUACUGUGGUUGACAAUCUUACGUUUAAAUUAAGUCUGCUCAAGGUCUAUAUUUUCUGAUGAAGCACCUUUCGUACUAAUGGUACACGUGGCCUAAUUAAGAAACACAUAUUGGUAGCAUCUGCACAUGCUAGUGUAAAUGCAAUCUCUGGCAUCAACCUUUUCCUUUUAUUUUCUAGGUUGAUCACCAUGUUCCUUGCAUAGUUCAGCUUUUUAUCUGAGACUAGGUAAACAAUAAAUGUGAUUCUUGAGAAAUAGACCAGACUGCUGCCUGUUUGAAGGAGUGUAGAACUGCAGAUGAAAUAUAGAGAGUUGUUCUUCCUGCUAUUCACAUUUAUAGCAGAACCUUCUCAAACCGUUUAAUGUCGCAGGUUGUCCUUCCUGAAGGAUCAAAAAAUCCACAGCCUGUAGUUCCUUUUGUGACAGAGAAACAUCUUGAGGUAAUCCCAUCUUUCCUUCCUAACAUUAAGCAUGUCUCCUCCCCUUAUAUCAGAAUUUUACAUUUUUGGAUCUAAACUGGUGGCAUACACCUAUGAAUUUAGAAGAACUACGAUUGAUAGAUAAAGUUUAAUCUCAGCUGAACCAUUGCAAGUUUACGCUUUUAUUGUUCAGUGGUAUCAGUUAACUUCUGGUAGGGCUGUGGCAACAUGUGCGUCCUGAUUUAGUUUCAAUCAUGAGCUGUGCAUAUUUCCCCUGAGUCCUAGAACUUUGUAUUUCACUAUGCCAGCUUGUAUUUUUCCAUCUAUUUUGCAAAAGAAGUGUGCUCUGAGCAUCUAUUUUGCAAAUGGAACAGUUCCUUUCUCAAGUUUUGGUAAUGAAAGAUUAUCCUGUGAUUAUGACACUAGCUACUGAUGCAGACUAGUUAUUCAUACCUUGAUGUUGUUGGAAGGACAACGGUGGUACUGAAAAAGAAAAAUGUUGUAGGAGAGCACAACGUUCCUUUCCAGGUACUUGUAACAAUCCGAUGAAGCCUUGUUAGUUACUACCACACCUUCGAACCACACAUCUUUUGUUUCUAAUCUGUGGAACAUUCUGGCACUUUUAGGUGUACUAUGAGUUCAAUCCGAUCUUCAUGCUGGCGGAGCCGUUGAUGCUAGUAUCUGCAGUGUUGCUGUUCUUUGUCGCCUGCAUUGCCUAUCUUCACAUGGAUCUUUCCAUCGGAAAAUCAUCAUAGGCCUCCAUUCACAGUAUUUUUGAAUUUUUGAACCACUUGUUCUACUAACUGCGGAUUGAUGAAUCAUUGGCACAUUAGUUGUACUAUGUACCCUUCUCAAUGGAGGAGGAUGAAGUUUUGUGGCUGCUGCUGCUGUAGGAAUGAGAUGAUAUACCUCUUGACAACUUCACUGCUUAAAAAACGUGAGUUCCUGCUUGUGGCCCGUUGACCCAGCAAAGCGGACAGUGUCGCUGCAAUGCGUGCUGCUGGCCUGUUAUCGCUACGAAUCAAGUAAUCAACAGGUGUAUUUUGAGCUGUUGCCCAUCUCAGCUCACUUGUGGGAGCUUAUGUUCAUCCAUCUGGUUUUCUCACCGUCUCUCCCGUCUCCUCCGACGCCCCAUGAAUCCAUGAUGCAGUCCCUCAAUAGCCCGAUCUGGCAGUGAGGGGCUUGGUUUGAAUCCAGGAUGUGAGGAUGCCAUGGGGUCGCUGAGCUUGGGAGCGGCUAAACAGCUUCAGAGGUCGUCAUUUAAUAAUUAAUAUAAUAAUAAGUGUGCAUAUUUUAUGUUCAAAUCUUAACGUUAUGAAAUAGUAUAGGCAAGUACUUCCAAUUAUCUCAAUUAGUUAGGUUUUUCCGUAGCAAAGCAUGAGUGUUCUGCUAGUAUACUCGAUAAAUGCGGGUUUUGAUUCCCCUUCAGGCGUGUGUUUGGUUUGGGGGUGGAUGUGGGUUGGAACGAGUUCGACCCCUAUUAACCCCCGUUUGGUUGGAAAUGUAGUGGGUUGGGUUCGUCCCCCAUAGGGAAUAUUCCCCGUAGACGUGGGUCCAAUGCUGGGGAGAAGGAGGGGCGGCGGUAGGGAACAGCCAUCCGGUGGAGGAGAGGGGCGGCCGACGGCGCAAAGAGAGGGAGGAGAGGGGAGGGGCGACGCCGUGGAGGCCGGCGCGGGUGGAGGCGGUGCCCAAGGGAGCUCGGGCUCCGCCUAGGGAGCUCCGGCGGCCGGGGCGGGAGGUGUUGGAGGAGGUGGGAUCCAAUGUAAUGGUGUUAAAAUGAUAUCCAUCCCAAUCCUCUUAACUCCUUCAAUCAAACAAAAAAUUGGGUCCAACCCAUCCCUGCAAUCAAACAAGAGAUGGGUCAAACCCAGCUCAGAAAAGUGGGUCGGCUCUGAUCGAACCCACAUCGUUCCAAAACCAAAAUGCAAGUUUAAUUCUGAAACCUUAAUUCUGAAACCUCGACGAUCACGAGAUUUGAGCAAACUUGCAUUUUUUUUAACGAUAUAAAGGGAUGCAAUGUUGCACGAAAACGUAAGUUAGUCAUGACUCAUGAGCUUUUGAAAAAUGUUUUUGGAGGGGUAGUCCGAGACGUGGACAUGCAAAAAAAAAAAGAAGGGAAAAAAAUUGUAGAGGCUGAUGUUCUCUUGAGCCUUGAGGGCGCGAUUUGCAAAAAAAUAAAAAAAAAUAAAAAAUAUGCCAUUUGUUGAGAGUGGGAUUUGAACCCACGCCCUUUCGGACCAGAACCUUAAUCUGGCGCCUUAGACCAACUCGGCCAUCUCAACAUGGUGCUGGAUAAAAUAAAAUCUAAGUAUUGUUCAAUAUAGGACAGGUCCUGGACUAGACUGCUGCAGCUCCUCUUCCACCGCGGUCGGUUGAGUUGCAAACCAUCGGCUUCCCCCCUUCCCGCAGCCAGGCACCCGACCCGGAUGGCCGUUGCAAACCCUAGCAAUGCGAUACACUGAUUAGCUUCCUCCUUCCCUCGCCUGGGUUUGUGCGUGAUCUCUCUCUCUCCCCCAGCGCGCGGACAGCCAGGCGGAUAGGGGCGGGAUGGUUUCCAACAAGGAGCGGGCACGCCGCGCCAUUGACGCCAUGACGGCCCUGGGAUUCUCCAAGAAAGAGUCCACCCCCGUCCUCAGGAGUCUCCUCAAGCUCUUUGACAACAGCUGGGAGCCCAUCGAGGACGAGUGCUACCGCGCCCUCGCCGACGCCAUCCUCGACAGCCGCGACCGCCCCAAGGUAUUCGUCUUGCCCAAAUGGAAGAGACAGAAAGAAAAAAAAAUGUUUUUUUUUUGGUAUUAUUAUGGGAUCAAAGAUGGGCCAAAAAGGCCCUCUUUUGUUUACUACUCUGUUCCUGCCAGACUAAUUUAAAUGGCUUACUGAUGCUUCAUCACUUGCCGCUGCUUGGGUGCAGGAGCCGGAGCAUGGUAGCCACCAUGCAAGAAUGGUUGCGCCGGAGGAAGAUCACCACCAGCCUUCUACUUCCCUUAUCGUCUAUGGCCAUCCCCGUGACUUGGAUAGUGAGAUAGAGGCACCUCGCAUCAAGAGGCCUAGAACCAACUCUAAUAAUUUCUCAGCAGAUCACUGUAUUGAUCCUCAGUUGUCCCCGCCAUCUUCUGUUACUGCACAAGAGAGGGCAAGGCAGAUGAUGGAUGAAGAUUUCCAACAUGCUGUCUUCUUGAGAGAGCCUAAGCCUGAGCCUGAUAUAGAUGUUGCACAGAGCCUUCAUGAUGCUCAAGUUGGCAUUGUUUCCCAUCCGUUCAACACCAGCUCCUCAGGUGCUGCAGAUCCUCUAGCAUCGCGUCCAUCCGUUCAAAAUCAAACAGAGAUUUCAGGUUUGCAUGCAGCAUUCUAAUCGAUUAUUCUGUCAGUAUUUGUGCUAGAAAAUAAUAGGUCAUGGAGAUGUUCAUGUUUCAUAUGUAGAUCACGUUUUUUCACCUUUGGUGUUUGUUCCAUUGAGUUCUCGAUGCACAGGGAAAUUAGUUUGUUGUGUUGAGCAAUCAAUCUGGUUGUCGAACUAGUACUUAUUCAGUUAUUCUUGCUGUUUUUUCUAUGAUACUGUGACUAGUUUCCUUAUUCUGAUGAGAAUCUGCUAAACCUUAUAUAUAUAGGUAAUAAAGGCAGGCCAGUUCAGCAUUGUAGAACAAGGACAUCAUCCACUUCCUUUGUUGAACGCACGGGCAGCAUGGGGAAGCAACCUCAAAAUCGGGAAAGUUUGUCCGAUCACACAGCUGUGAUGCACAACACUGGGACAGGAUCUGCAGAUGAACGUACACAAGAAGCACCUUACUUGCACACUGUUGUAGCAUCAUCCACUAUGGGUGAUGUCAAGAUGUCAAUAGAAUGCAACAUAGACCCAUCGAAGUUCUGCAUGCCCAGUUUAGAAGAAGUUUUCAGGAUGGUUGAGGAUAAAUGCCUUCACUCAUACAAGAGUCUCCCACCAAAUUUUUCCGUUAGCAGCCUGAUCAAUGAGAUAUGCCAAUGUGUAGCACAACUGGCCAAUGGCAGUACUGCAGAAUAUAAUGUACAAUCAGAUUCUUUUGAUAAUGGCAGAAACUCGCAAAAGGAGUCAAUGAUGAGUGGUGCUGCACUCAUGAAACCAAUUGCUUCCAUGAAUAGCGGAGGCAUGAAAUAUAAAUCUGUAGAAGAUUCAUUGGUUUUAGAAACUUCAGAGAAUGGACAAGAAUAUUCAACAGUUCCUCAGCAUCUGGCACUUUCUCAAGUAAGGUGUACCCACGAUGUGUCUGAUAUAUCAAAGGGAGAAGAAAAGGUAAGGAUAUCAGUGGUGAACGAAUUUGGCAGCGAGAAAUGUCCACCUUCCUUUUAUUAUAUACAAAGAAACCUUGUUUCCCCGAAGGCCUAUGACAACAUCUCUGCUGCCGGAAUUGGUGACGAGGACAGUUGUGCUGACUGCUUCGGCAACUGCUUGUCUGCCCCUAUACCAUGUGCCUGUGCAAGAGAAACUGGGGGUGAAUUUGCAUAUACACCAGGAGGUUUGGUUAAGACAACGUUCCUUGAUGAGUGUUUCUCUAUGAAUUUAUUCCCAGAAAAACAUCAUAAGUUCUUCUGUAAACCACUGGAGAGGCCCAGGAAUGAAGCUCUACCAGAGCCUAGCAGACGCCAUCUUGUUAGGAAGGUUAUCAGGGAAUGCUGGAGUAAAUGUGGUUGUAACAUGCAAUGCGGUAACCGUGUGGUUCAACGUGGUAUAGCUUGCAACCUGCAGGUAACAUCUAAUGCUUCUGUAAACUUAUGUUGAUGAAUAUUUAUGUGGCUUGCCAUGAAUGGCUGUCAUUUAUUUCAUGAGAAUUAUACAGCUAAUUACAACAAUUUACCUGAAAUUGGAUAGAUCAGUGCAUAUAGAGUUCCUGGCAACUGUUAUUGGAUUUUCAGAUAAUUAGUGCAUAGGAUAUCCUUCUCAUUCUGGCCUCCCCUGUACCUUAAAAUAUGUUUGGAAUACACUACAGCCCUUUGCUUGUUUGAGACUUUGAACAAAAGGUGUUGCUUCGCAAAAUCAUGUUAGCUUGGUGCUGAGGAAUUGUCAGGCACCAUUCAUAGAUUUUCAGACAUGGUAUUUGUUAAACUGAACAUCAGCUCAACCCUUUCAGUAACAUGAAAACACAAUGGUACUUGUACUGUAAAUUUACACUCAUUGACUGAAAAAUAAACACAUUCUAGGAACACUUAGCUGAACCUGAUUUGGUUGAAGAGGUGUCAGAUUUGAAUGUACAAACCUGUAUGUAAAUACAGUUUGAGCACCAAACCUGCCAAGAAAGACAAAGGCACAAUCAAUACCAAAAGGGGGAAUUUCCAUCCAGCGAGAAUACGUUGGCCUGCGACGGGAUCCCGGCGACAAACACAGAUGGCAGCCUAACAUUAGGACCCGAUGGAGUCGACGGCGGCUUGAUGAUGAGAUCCUUUUGAUCGCACGUCGGCUUGGCUAGGAUGAUUGUUCCAGUCACGACCAACGAGCACAGUGGAGGGGUAGGGGUUGCUGUUGGUAGCAUAGACAUGCGAGGGGGGGGGGGGGGGGGGGGCAACGGCUUGGUGUCAGUUACGCAUUCCAUUCGUGACCAGCGACAACGGCAGAGGUGUUAGGGUUCCUGGUGGCUGUGGUUGAACUAGGAGGAGAGAGGCGCACGAGAUGCGAAUGAUGCGGGUGACACAGGGAUGGGAGCUGCAGCUUUGGGCGAAAUGGACCUGAGAUUCCAUGAGGGUUUAGACGUGCCUGGGCCUGUUUGUCGCCACAUCAUUUUUACGAGCAAAUGUGGACAGAGUGGGAGUGAAAUACAUGAAGAUUUGGGUGGUUUAGGCUUUAGGGUUCCGUCCUAAAUUGGAACUGUAAAUAAGAAGAAAUCUUUUGCACUUGAAUGGAUAUAAUAAAAAAACUGCAGCCAACCUAAGGCAGCAUUGCAAAUAAGAAGAAACAGAUACCCAGGUUUGCGUGGAAGAGGACUCGAACUUGGGUGGCAGGGUGUGUGCACCCACACCUCCCACCAACUGAGCUUAGUUCCUUCUUGGUCCUCUAAUAGUUUUCCUUUAUUUUUCUUCCGCAGUGUUCAGGUAUUAUUGAUGCUGGUUGGUUGAAUUGCUGCUAAUUACUUUCUUUCUUUUUUUUGCCCAGGUGUUUUUCACACAAGAAGGGAAGGGUUGGUUGAAUUGCUGCUAAUUACUUUCUUUCUUUUUUUUGCCCAGGUGUUUUUCACACAAGAAGGGAAGGGUUGGGGUCUACGCACACUUGAUGAACUUCCAAAAGGAGCUUUUGUCUGUGAAUAUGUUGGCGAGUUGCUAACAAAUACGGAGCUCCGUGAAAAGACAUCUCAAAAAGCGUGCAAGGCUGGGUAUACGUACCCGGUGGACUUGGAUGCUGAUUGUGAUUCAGAGGGGGUGUUGAAGGACAAAGAGGCUUUAUGCCUGGAUGCAACAUUUUAUGGGAAUGUUGGGAGAUUCAUCAACCACAGGUGUGCUCUGACUGUUCCCAAUCUGUCCUUGUUACUCUAUUAUUUUUUUAAAAAAAAUGAUAGCAGAGAUGAGUCUUCCCCUUUUCUUUUCUUAUGGUCGUAAUACUCCAUCACAUAGAUGCUACGAUGCAAAUUUAGUUGAGAUCCCUGUUGAAGUGGAGACCCCUCAUCAUCACUAUUACCAUGUAAGUUCUUAAAUUCUAAACUGCUGUGUCCAUACCACGCCUUUGAAAAUGUACAGCAUAGGCAUACCAUGCUGAUGUUUUUUAUAUUUUCUUUUUUCUUUUUUGUUAAUUGAAGCUUGCACUUUUCACAAACAAGAAGGUGGAGGCAUUUGAGGAGCUCACAUGGGUAAGGCUUGUGUAGUUUCUUAAUAUUAAAUAUUAACUUCUGUUCAUAUAUUCAAAGAUGUGUAUUUCUCAAGAUAAAUGUGACUGUCAAAAUCAAAGGCUGCAGAUGCUGUGAGCCUGUGAUAAUAAUUUUUUCCCCAUAUUUUAAGUUUUUGCUCUUGACAAAGGCUAGGGACUUCUCUUGCAAUUUCUGCUUGCCUAUAUUUAUUUUGAGGGUUCUGUAAUGUUUAUCCCAUGGGCAAUGGCUUUGUUAGACAUUCUUUUGUGUGGUUGCAAUGGUAAACCCUAAACCCAAAUUCACAAGUCCUCUUCGCAGUGCUAUACAAAUACCAGAUUUUUCUAGUUUAUUCUCUCUUUUUAGCUAAAUCAUAUUUGCGGCAAGCUUUGUUGGUUGCAUUUUCAGUGCCAUGCUAUGCAGUUUAUUGGAUCAGCCUAGGAUGCACUCUCUCCUAUCCUUGGUGGCUUGACCGAUCAAAACUAAUCUUGCUUGUUUCAGGAUUAUGGCAUCGAUUUUGAUGGUGAUAAACAUCGUGGCGGAACAUUUCAAUGCCUGUGCGGAAGCAGAUACUGCCGCGGCAGGAAGGGUCGUAGUAUGUUCUCCUUCUGCUUGGUCCCAGAACCAUUCUUUUUGAGUGAAUUCUUGCCGGGCUACAGAUUCUACUUUUCAUUGUGCAAGCGUUCUAAGAUGGUUCUUUCAAAUGACUGCAGGGAACCGAGGAAAAGCUGCUGCAAAAUAAGCUGGGGUUGAUGCGAAGCAUGGCUGUUUAGGUUAGCGAGCAAUCUAGUCAGUUGUAGCUUAGCAAGCCGGAAUUUUGUAUGGUCAUAAUUGAUGUUGGAGGGAUGUUUUUGGCUUGCGCGCGCGCGUCUGAGACAAAGCGUUGCUCAUAGGUUAGAUGCAUCAUUUAGCCGAAUGAAACUGCUGAACUUUUAAUCUCGCCCGGCGGUUUGAAUUUGUUUUCGAGUUGGGGGCUGGAAACGGAGGCCCACGACAUCUUCACAGGGCUAUUCUUCUGUAGUCAGUUUAGUUGUGAGUUUUUUGCAUAAUCGGGGGUGUUUUAGCAAAAUUUAUUGACGACAGCGUUUUUUUUAAAAAAUCAUAACAAAGAAUAAGUUAGGGAAAAAAAACUGUGAAGAUGUGGUGGGCGGAUCACGGCGGAUCAGGUCCAAUCAGGGGUCUCCCACAUGCCGAUGGUCAUGGGCUUUCGCCGACGGCACUCGCCGGCGCGCCACACGUGUCCUCCUGUGUGUGGGGCGUGCGCUGUCCGGGCCCGCUAAUAUGUAUGAAUCUAUAAAAGUCACAACAAUAUACGAUUUGUAACGGGGAAAGUAGUCUACUGCACGGGUGAGCCAUAUCUGAUGACAAUUCAAUCAUUUCCCAAACGUCACAGCGUCAGUGCUUAAUCCGGAUAAAUCCAACCCAAAAGAUUACACUUUUCGUCCCUUUUCUCCUCUCCCAGAGUCUCAUGCGUUAGCUACUUGAUGGCCUAACUUUGCCAUGCAUGCCAAUUCCAUAACAUAUCCGAACAAAUAUGUACAGUUUCCCACUUCAUCAUCUCCAGUGCUAUUUCUUUUUCCUAAUUAAAUAAUGUAAUGGCCUGCGAAGGUGCCUACACAGGUGGAAUGCACGUAGCAAUCCGCAAAAGGAACUGGGCGUAUCGAGCUCGAGAUGAGAGCAAGGGUGCUUAUUUUUAUUUUGUAGUCCUUAGAUAUAGACUAAUUACAAAACCUAUUGUACAGUGGAGAUUAAUUCGCGAGACGAAUCUAUUAAGCCUAAUUAGUUCAUGAUUUGACAAUGUGCUGCUACAGUAACCAUUUGCUAAUGAUGGAUUAAUUAGGCUUAAUAGAUUCGUCUCGUGAAUUAGCCUCCAUCUGUGUAAUUAGUUUUAUAAUUAACUCAUAUUUAAUGCUCCUAAUUAACCUCCGAAGAUUCGAUGUGAUGUGGACCUAAACUUUAAUUCAAGAUCCAAACAUCUCUAAUCAAUUCGCUUGCCCAUCCCGGUCGCUGUCCCAGUGAUCUGCCAGGUCAAACCAUUUAAAACGAGCUGAUCUCGCCGAAAGGGCCACCGCGGCUGCCUUUACCGCCAAGCCAUUGCGCGAGCACGAGCCUGCACAGCCCAGUUGACUUGCGCUGGAGGUUGGCGGAUGCGGGCAAGGUGGCACGGAUCGCGCGCGAGGUCAACGCAAAAGGCAGCAUAAAGAAACAGGGUGGGGCGAGGGCCACAAGGGCGCCAGGUAAUCACAGAAUUCGCCGUGUGAUCUGUAUUCUUUUGUUGGUUGAAGCGAUUGGAGAUUGGACAGCCUAAAGGCAUCCGGUCGCCAGCUCCAAUCGGUCGAUGGUGGCCUUUCGCGUGGGCGUGGAUACAUUUUUUUUUAAGGUUGGAGAUUGGAUACGUUUUGACAUGACUGUGGAAUAUCGCCUGUCAUUUUCACCGAGCAAAGCAUUAAAACUUUUUGCCCUUUUGCCCGUGGUUGUUCACUUUGAGAAAUUUUUACUGUUGUACUCAUUCCGUUUUAAGUUGUAAGUUAUUUUAACUUUUCUACAUUUAUAUUUAUAGAUAUUUAUAUAUAUAAUUUGAAAAAGUCAAACUACCUGCAAUUUGAAACGGAGAAAGAACGAUCAGUUAAUUCUGUGACGGUAUAAAUUCCAUUCACACAGUUCUCGGCUGAGAAGUUUUGUUGAGGACUGUGUUGUAAUUUUUCAUUUAAAUGAGGGUCUAGGUGGAAAAAAUUGUGCUAGAGAUCUUCUUAGAGGAGCCGUAGGCGAAUGUCCCGUCUCCCACUCUCCCUCUUCUCUUCUUCCAGGGAGAGAGCUCGAGCUCCUGCUCCUCUCACACCUCCGCCCGCCACCGCCCACCCCCACCCCCACCCCCGCCCCGCCCUCGCGGCCAUGGCCUCCUCCUCCUGCGACGCCACCGCCGUUCCCUUCACCCUCCUGGGCGCGCUCCUCACCGCGGGGCCAGCUGCCUGGCCGGUCUGCGUCGGCGGCGGCCGCGCCUUCCUCCGCGACUACGCCCAGCGGGGCACCAACGCGCUGCUGUGGGCGGGCCUUCUCGCAGUCACCUGGGUCCUGCUCCUCCGCGUCGCCGCGCUGCUCCGCCUCUGGGUCCUCGGCUCCCGCAUCCCGGGGCCUCACGCGCUCCUCGCAGACCCCGGGCUCGCCGCCGUCCUGCGCACCGGCGGCGACGUCACCGGUUGGUAGCCGAUCCCCUUUCCACCGUAUUUGGCUCCACGUAACCAGGAUUCGGUUCAAUUGGUUGGGUUUCGAUAUUUGGGUGGUGGUUAUGAUGGGAUUGGAAUAUUGGAUUUGGCGCCAGCGCGACGUCUGCAACGUGCCAAAAAAAAUUUCGUACGGGCUAUUUGAGAUGCUCGGGCGCCUAUGUGCCAUUUUGGGUACUGUUCGAUUGGGGACUGGAUGUGGUUGGAGCAAUUUGAUUCGAGAUUUGGUAGCUCCUACCUGAGAUGCCAAAUACUUGGUAGAGAUUUGGCUACGAGCUAGCUACUUGAGCAUUGAUCUAUUGGGAAAUUCGUGCUGUUUGAUUGAUUGAUGUGGAAUUUUGCUAUAGUAUAGGCUGAUCUGGGUGGGAGUUGCGGGAUGUAAUUUGACCAUCCGUUUUUGCCGAUUAUAUGCCAAAGUUAUGGCCUAUUUUACUGCCCCAGAGCCUGUGAGCUAGUGAUCCAGGUUUGCCUUUUUGUUUGGUUGCUCUGUUGGAUGAUAACGAGAUGUGAUCUGUACAAGUGGCACAAUAUUUUGUGUAAAGCAUUUAGGCUAGUGUUGAUGUUAUGGUAGCGGGACCGGCUCUAGGCCUUGGCCCACUGUAGUGUAGCGCGUGAACAGUACCGCGGGAUCAGGAUUAGUUUGUUAGCAGAUAAGAUUUGUUAGUUAUUUGGAUUAGAUUUGUUAGCAGGUUUUUAGGUGCCUAGUCUAUAAAGGCAGCCGUGAGUUAUGGGUUAGGCAAGCAGAAAAUAGAUCAAAAGAGCAUCUCAGAGCCUCCUGCGGGAGGGCAAGUUAGCCGAUCUAUCCUGCUGUUCUAGUAUCCAAUGAUCUGCCCACAACAGUUGAGAUAAAAUUACUUAACUGAGCUUUGCCACACAGCAAUUGCACUGCUUAGCACAGAGCACGCUUACCUUAAUUAUUGUUGUAUCGUCAUUACAUCAUGGUCCUACUCUUUUCGAUUCUUAUAAUUCGGGAAGAAAAACAGAAGAGGAAAUCAAUUUACCUUUUGAAGUUCUUGCUGUUUCGACAAAUCUCCCUCAUCACUAUUAGACUAGAUUUUUGUCAGUUGUAUGUCUACGAAGUUUUUACAGAGUUAACCACAUAUUCAAAAAUUUCCUGGGAAUGAGCACUUUUUGUAGAACUUACUAGGACAACUCAGAGAGUGUUGGGUUUGAAAUACUACCAGACAUAAAUGGGUAGCCAUAGGUAGAUGCAUGAUUGUUGAUAAAUAAUUUUUGGUCCCAUGCGAUCCAACAGGGAUAGUGCUGUUCUUAAUGAGCAUGGGCAUAGGAUGGCCCACUCGAGCACUUUAGACCCGUGCCAUCCAACGCUUCAGCUUACAAUGUUCCAGCAAAUAUUCAAGCCAUAUUGCUAGCAAAAUUACUAUUGUGAGCUACCAAUCUUCUGCUUUUUUUAAAUCAUUAUUGUAAAGAUGAAAAUACAUUAUUUGAUAUUUUUGCGUUGAUAUGGCAACCAAGGGUCCUUAUUUAAUAGUUUAUACAAUACAUCCGUUAAUUUAGGCUCAUGUUUUGCUUUGAACUUCAUUUUGCAGGUUUCCUGUCAAAAUUGCAUGGCAGCUAUGGCUCAGUUGUUCGCCUGUGGGCAGGACCCUCUCAGCUACUUGUAUCAGUUAGAGAUCCUACUCUAGUCAAAGAGGUUCUAACAAAGGCUGAAGAUAAGUUACCAUUGACUGGUAGAACAUAUAAUUUAGCUUGCGGAAGACUUGGUCUAUUCGUAUCCUCAUCCGAGAAGGUAAAUUGAUUUACUCUUCUGCUUUUUCUAUAGUGGGCUCUGCAAUAUUUCCUCUCUCUCGUUUCUAGUUUGUAUUGAUGCAUUUGUUUUAUUAACACCAUGUAUAUGCAGAUAGCAUGUUCCAUUGCUACUUUGAUUUGUUUAGUUCUUCUAACCGUCUUGUUCGGCAUUUUUCAGGUCAAAAGUACAAGAGAAUCUCUGAAAAUAUUUUUGAAUGAAAAACUUACAAUUGGUGUCGGUCGAAGUUCAUUCAAAGUUAUUGAUGCUGUCAUGGAUAGAAUCGACUCUAUUAUGUCCAAGGAUUUUCUGGACUGUAGAUCUUUCUCCCAGCACAUGUCCUUUAACAUCAUUGGUGGAACUCUUUUUGGUGAUGCCUUCUUCAAUUGGUCUGAUGCUGUUACUUAUGAGGAACUUCUUAUGAUGGUUGCAAAGGAUGGUUGCUUCUGGGCUUCUUAUGCAGUUUGCCCGUUUUGGAAGCCUAGCUAUAGGAGGUACCGGACCCUUUGUGCUAAGCUGAAGACGUUAACAGAGGGAAUCAUCAGAAAAUCAAGAGAUCAAAAUAGUUCACUUCACCACUUUGAUCAGAGGUCAUAUCUAAAAAGUGAAGGGAUGAUAAAAGGUCUAAAUAGAGGUGUUUUAGGUGAAAUGAUGGCAGGUCAUUGUCUCCAUGGGGCUGCUGAAGGAUCACUUAGUUCAGAAGAGGAAAUCUGUGGAAACAUCAUCGGUUUGAUGUUACAUGGUAUUUCCGCUUCUGCUAACUUGAUUGGUAACAUUUUGACAAGGUUUAUCUUGUUCCCAAAGUUGCAAGAUCAGGUACACAUUAAUUCCUUUAUUUUUCUCUGUUGCAAACUAUUUUGGUUGCUCUCUGUGAUGAACAAUUGCUGGUGUUGUGUUGCCCAUGUUAAUUAUUUGAAUAAGAAAGAAUCUCAAUUCGUGCUCCAUUUUUCUCAAGGAAAGGUUUAUAAAAUGUGACAUUAUUCGUCUACAAAAGUGUGGGGCAAUCUUGAAGACCCUUUAGCCAUAAUAUACUAGAAGGACGGGCCACAACCAUCCACCAUUUUUUUAUGAGUUACACCUCUUCACCCAUGCUACUCUUUUUUUGCAGAUACAUGCGGAGAUUGUUGCAGUCUGCGAUGAAUCAUCUGAGCUGGAGGUUGAUGAUGUGCUUAGGAUGCAAUUACUACUUGCUACUGUAUAUGAAUCUGCUCGCCUUUUGCCUGCUGGACCUCUUCUGCAGAGAUGUUCUUUGAAACAUGGUAUGCAAAUUUUCUAGACCUUUAGAAUGCGAUUGCCUAUCCUGAUUUUAUUAUCAAGAUCAUGAUAGUUUGAAGUUUGAUCCUGAUAUUGGUCCAUGCAUCUAGCUGCAAAAGGGCUCGUUUGUCAGCUACAGGUCAGUUUUGACCCACUUUCGUUUCAUUUUCCUUGAGUGCAGAUUUGACUCUUGGCUUGGGCAUCACUGUGCCAGCUGGAGCAAUAUUGGUAGUUCCUUUGCAUCUUGUGCAUAUGGAUGCUUCUGUGUGGGGCAAUGAUGCUGGCCAGUUCAAUCCUCAUCGGUUCCUCAAAAAGGAUGUGGAUCUUGGAGGUCUGUUCUCUCUUUUCUCACUUUUCUGUUCUAGCAAAACAUAAGUAACAGGUUGUUAAUAACAGGGCAUGCCUAAUAACAGCUCCAGAAGAUUCUUCAUUGAAUUCGUUAUUUUUGGUCUGCAUUUGUUAGACCUUUAGCAUUUUUUUUGCAUGACUAUUGUGAUUAGCCUCUUCCUAAUUCUAUUCUCACUUCAUUUUCUUCAUAUAUUGUAGAUAUAUUAGCAGCACCCAGAGGCUCAAAUGGGAUGAAUCUUUUCACCGAGUGUGCUAAGUCUGAGUCAUUUCUUCCAUUUGGUUCUGGAAGUCGAGCAUGUGUUGGCCAGAAGUUUGCGAUUAUUGCAAUAUCAAUGUUGAUUGCCAGUCUGCUCCGCAACUAUGAGGUUAGAUGCAAUAAUUGUUAUGCUUUGCCUUUUCGUGAUAUGUACACGCACCUUUUGGGAGAUUGUGAGCUGACUUGCUAGAUGGAAUUCCAUGCUUCUGGGCUAAGUAUUUACUCUUUUUCAUCAGUUUACGUUUAAACUUAGUGUUGAUUGGAACUCAACCUUGCAGGUACAGACUCAUCCAAGUUUGUGUAAAGAAAUGGAACCUGAAGUUCACAGCAGCCAUGUUCACCAUCUCCCAAACCCGAAGAUCAUCCUCACAAAAAGAAGGAUCUAACGGGAGGGUUUGGCAAAUUCAAAUUUGAUGCGUUUUCUUUCACUAUAUUCUUUUUUACUGGUGUCACACCAGGAUAUGCUAGUUUCAUACCGUCGUUGAAUCACGCUGAAGUUUGGAAAGGCGAUACUUUGCGAUGUGGAAGUUAUCUUUUUUUUCCUCCAGAUUUUUGACAGACCCAGUGUGCUUCGUCCGAUCUAGUUUUUGUUAGAUUUUUGGAGCACCCACGGGCUGUCAGAUCAUGGGAGGUGUAUGCUGAUGUGCAUAAACAAGUUGGGGGUUUUUAAGUUGGAGUUUUCUCCUCCCUCUAGGAGGAAUGUAAUGUCCAAUGUAUCAUGUUGUCUCAUACUAAUGUAUUGUAUGAUACAUGUAAACAUGUUUCAGCUGUUCCUACAGCGUAAUAAAUUGUGAAAAAAUUAUACAAAUAUCUGCUGUGUUGGAUUUGCUUCAGCCUUCAGGUAGUAGGUAGAGAUUUCUUUAAAAAAAACAGGGAGGUGAGGGUUAAAUGCAUAAUGUACUAUAUGUAAGCAACCAGCCAAAGCCAGUAAGCUACCGUAUACGGCAGUGGUCGUACCCUGCUACAGUGCUGUGAUUUCAGGAUAAGUUGCGGCACGACACGAUCAUGUUUCCGAUGCAGAUGACCAGGCGUCAGGCGAGUACUUCGCCGCGAACGGCAGAGCAAGCGCAGGACUGCGAUCGGAUCGGCGGCGUCCGGCAGAGGUGCAAGCCGGAAAUGCUGGCCCCCUCACCGUUGUUCGCCUUCCUGCACGGUGCAGGGAGCGGUGCGCCACCGACAUAUCGCUUGCCGCACCGACGACGACCACGUGCCGCCGCCGCUCGUCGCGCGACGGCUCAUCAUGAGAUUCUCCGGUCAAGCUCUCGAGGUCCAAUGGGCACGUGUAGGAGGAUCAUCCCAUGACCAGACCUUACAGUACGAGCAGGCGCAUGGCCCUGCUUCUGCUUGGCUCACACCUGCCCAGGCCGGCGCCAAAUGAAAUGAUCAGAGACGAGCAGGGGGGCCCUGCGUUUUAUGUCGGCGGCAGAUGGUUGGUUGACUGGCGAUCAAGUGCACGCAUAUUCCCAAGCAUUCAGCCCGUUCGGAAGUGAUUGGCAAGGAAAAGCCUAAACAAUGGCCGCAUAGGCACACAGCCGACGCCGAUUGCCGAUUGGCGGCACGCGCCUGGGCAGGGGACAAGGAUCGCGAGCUCUCAUGCCGUUCGUCUGAGACGCCAGCCAGGUCGCGGUAAUUCCAAAGAACUGCGUUGUAUUUGUUGUUCAAAACUCAAAAUCAAGCGCAAGAUCCUGAGCUCGCAACGAGAAUGCUUCUUGAAAUCCAUGGAGAUUUACUUCAAGAAAAUUUUGGAUCUGCGCCUGCCAACGCUACGCUAAACAAGUUGGUAUCGCGCAAGCACGCGGCUCGUAAUCUAUUACUCCGUAUUCAGUACGAUAAAGACCCCUCUCGCUGCAGUAACAAGUUUACUGGCGUACAGCGGGCAGUAUAAAAUACCCAGGCUGCACAGUGACAGUGAACACCCACUGUAGUUUCACACUUUCGCUCACUCUGACGGCAUCAGCUAGCUGCUGAUCGCCUUCGCAACAACAGAUGCGUAUGGCUCCUCGGGGUAGUAAUGGCAGCGGCGGCGGCACCAAGCUGUUGCUGUGCUUGCUGCUCGUCGCGUGCACCGGGGCUGCGGGGCAGGGGCUCCGGGUGGGGUUCUACCAGCAGAGCUGCCCGGACGCGGAGUCCAUCGUGAGGAACGUCACCUGGCCUGCGGCGGCCGCCGACCCCAGCCUCGCCGCCAAGCUUCUCCGCCUCUUCUUCCACGACUGUUUCCCGCAGGGUUGCGACGCGUCGGUGCUGCUGGACGGCCGUGGCACGGAGAAGGCGGCGGGCCCGAACCUGUCGCUGGGCGGGCUGGAGGUGAUCGACGCGGCCAAGGCGGCGCUCGAGCGGUCCUGCCCGGGCACCGUCUCCUGCGCCGACGCCGUGGCGCUCGCCACCCGUGACGCCGUCUCGUUCCAGUUCGGGCGGCUGCUGUGGCAGGUGGAGACGGGGCGGCGCGACUCCCGCUUCUCCGACGAGGCCGACGGCACCAAGCUCCCCAACCCGGAGUACGUGUUCCCGAUCCUCAGGGACUCCUUCGCCCGGCGCGGCCUCGGCGUCGCCGACCUCGUCGCGCUCUCCGGCGCGCACACGCUGGGCCGGACCACCUGCAUGUUCGUGUCCCCGAGGCUCUACACCUUCCAGGGCAACGGCGGGGUGGACCCGUUCAUCGAGCCCAGGUACGCGCGGGAGCUGAUGGGGCAGUGCACGAGCAUGGCGUCGGCGAACAGGGUCGUCAUGGACCCCGGCAGCGAGUUCGCCUUCGACACCAGCUACUACAGGGCCAUCAAGGCCAACCGCGGCGUGCUCCUCACGGACUCCGUGCUCACGCACGACGACGAGGCGGCGAGGCUCGUCGACGAGAUGCAGGACCUGGGCAAGUUCCUCGCCGCCUUCGCCGCGUCCAUCCAGAAGAUGGGCGCCAUGGACGUGCUCACCGGCAGCCAAGGCGAGAUCAGGAGGAACUGCCGUGUCGUCAACUACUAGUGUGUGUGACUGUGUGUGUGUGUGUCUUUGCUUGGCCAAUUGUGGUAGGAGUAGGAUUGCUUUAACUGAUUGUGAGCAUAUGAAGUCUUAUAUCUUAAGAAUAAAGAGCACAAUGUUGACAUGGAUAUCUUCAUUUAACAAAGGAACAUAGGCUUUAGCAAUUGUUCCGUUCUUCCUCCAAAAAAUUGACCGGAUUGGAAAGUGACGUCCUCCGUGCUCGCUGCCAGACUGCGGCUCGCAUGAUUUGUCCAUUCUCCGGACAGAACGCCACGAACGGCAGCAAAACGACGGCCGUCGCUGGGGGCCUGCGGCCUCACCGGCGCGAGGUCUGGUCAGGUCAUUGACGCCGCCGCCUUUGCCACGAAUGGACGGCGGCACGGCGCAGUCACGGAAGCAGGUCGUGCGGCGGCGCCACCUGUUCGGUAUGGAACGAGCCGACGCCACGACGGCAGCCCUUGGGCGGCGCGACGCUGCCGCUCGUCUGGCAGAACGCCGCGGAAGCGCCGAAGCUGAGAACAGCGGCCUCCGCCGCGGCCCUACCGGCACGAGCAUGAGGAAUCAAAGAGGCUCUCCAGGACGGUUGCCAUCGACGCGGGGGACGGCCAGGACGCGGCGGCGCACCGGCGAGACGUCGCGCGACUGCAUGAGACGUGCCGUGGGGUGGCCAGGGUGGUACCUUUUAACCGCUGGAUCGGAUCUGUGCGUCCGCGAUCAUCCCAAUUGCAGCCACCCGCCCUGCCUCCGAGAAGAGCGCCCUUGCCACGGCUGGCUGCGGCUCCUGCGCGCGCCAGCGGAGAGGCGUUAACGCUCGCCGCGUCGCUGGGCGGCCACGGCCUCCGACCCGCCGCCAAACUCUCCCAGAACAACGCCGUGCCACCGCCCGGCACAUAUUGGAGCAAGUUGAAGUGCGAUUUGGUGUAGUCGGCGAGCGCCGCCGCGACGGGUACGAGGCCGGGCACGACAGACGGCAUCAGCUGCAAUUCCUAGCUAAAGAUCGGGGUUCAGUUCCAUGUCGUUCAUGGAGGCGCGGAGCUCCAUCUCUACUUACCUCCAAGUUUCUACAGAUCCGACUCCCCUCUCUUUUCUCAUGAUCGCCACACCACCGCCGUCCUUGGCGCCGACGCCGGCGCGCCACCUCCUUUGCCGCGACGUUUGGCGCGGUCACAGCCGCCGGCUGAAUAGUCGUGGCUUUUGUGGCGCGCCACCUCACCUCUUCGGCAUGGAACGAGCCACCGCCACGGUUCUGCGUCCCGACGAGUCCCGCCGAACGCCACGGUUCACGAGCAGCUCGGUGGCAAUUGGUAACGCCGGUGGACAAGGACGCGGACGCCGGCGGACGUUCCUGAGGGCCUCCUUAUCGGCGUAAAAAGGGAUUCUACAAACGCAUGCUGAUGUUGACGCCGUGCAGCGGGAUGCGGCGGCGCUCCGGCGAGACGUGGGUGGAUGCUGAAUUGUGAAGCGCGAGCACGCUGGGGUGGACGGUAAAUGAAAUACCGUCCACCCCUUGGGUAUCUUACGCCCGUUGGAUCGGAUCUGGGCGGCCGCAAUUAACCCAAUCCAAGCCCCGAUCCGGCCUCUUCUGAAGAGCGGCCGCGCGCGCCAGCGGCGAUGGGAUGGAUGGCCGCGCUCCGGCGCCGGGCGGACACGGCGGCCUCCGACCAGCCGCCAGUAUCUUCAACGACGACAAAGCCACGGCGCCACCGCCACCCGCCGGUGAAAUGCACAAGACCCUCCGGUUUGGCGGUGCCUUUGCCCCCGACACGGCCGUCAGUUACAGGCUUGCUCGAAGCAGCACGGCACGGGGGCCGGCCGGUGCUGAUCUGCGGCGGCUAUAGCUUGUCUGGAUCGUCAACCGGUUCGAACCUUGGUAGGAUGUAAUGGAACGGCCAACGCAACGAUAUUUCCAAUAAAAAGUUGCUGAUGUUCGUCUGGAAGUAAUCGACCUGGGACGACGAAAUGGUCUAUUCAUUCCCAGCACAGCAGCAACAAGCUGUAGCUUGGGUGAUUGCAGUUGCAGAUGCCCGAGGACAAAUUAAUCAAUGGACAGAUUAAGCAAAAUUGUUUUGUAAUCAAUCUUUCUAGUAAAAAUGCUUCAGAAUACCCAUGAGAGCAAGUUCAAUUGAAAUCUUCGUGAUGCACAAAACCAGCCACACAAAUGUUGCUACACAAAUCCUACCAACAAAAGAAUCAGCACCAGGUUCAACGGCAGAACCGUAAGUGGCCCAAUUGGAAGCCCGGCGGAGCCGGCGAGUAUUCGCCGGAGGCCGGAGCCCGUGCUGGUGCUGAGCACGACGGCUCAAUCAUCAUAGCCGGCUGCGCGACCACAUGUUCGGCAUAGCCCCAACGUCCUCCGUGGCCCAUGUAAUUAUCGAAGAUGAUUCUUAAAUUAAAGUUGUCUCAGUGUGAUGAUUGCUAGACUAAAGGCUUAAGAUCAGUCUCAGUGCACAGUUUCAGUGCACAGUUAACAAGACCGAGAACUUGGUAACUGUGCCAGUUGAGUGUCAUGUGGAUGAAACUUCUCUCUCAUAUGAUGAAACUUCCUCUCGUAAUGGCCUUACCAAGUCAGUAUUUUUGCGACGUGGCAACAAAUUUAAUGCUCAUGAAACUCCUAUAAAAUUACUAUUGAGAUUGGCCUAAGAAUCAUGGGUUGAAAUACCCUCUCCUCUUCCUUCAAACAUUAAGCAUGUGAUAAUGGUUUAUGAAACUAUGAGAUCCAGUAUUUUACAAACCCUCCUAUUUUCGAUCCAAACUAGGGUUUAAUGUGUAAAAUAUCCGUACCAGCGACGGGCAGGGGAGGAGGCCGCGCCGCCACCGGCGGGCGGCACCAACCCCGUCGCGAUACAUCCCGAGCCACCGUCCCCGUAGGCGAGCUACGGCUUCGGUCCACCUAGAUGGCCGGGGGACAGCGACCUCAUCGGCGUGAGAUCCUUCUCGUCCUCGCACCAAGCGGCGGCGAAUGCCUGCCGCGCCGGACUACUGGAACUCGGCCAGAGAGCUGCUCCUGCGUGACGGCGCCAUGGGACGCUCACGGCCAGCACGGCGGCGGGUGACGUUGUGCGAGGCGCCGGGCUGGAGCGGAUGGCGGCGUGCGCGGCCAUGGGUGUUCGAGGGCCGUGGCGGCGUGGACGCGCUCUCUCUGACUCCGCAGCGAACGAGCCCUUUAUUCAGUCGAUGCUGAACGUACGUCUGAACGAGCCCUUUGUUCAGGCUUUCAGAUCUUGCACUAGGCAUUCCCCGUCCGUGCAGUGCAUGAGUAGCAAGGAUUUCUCGGCAUCAUAACAGCACGUUCGAGGCUAGGGAAGGCCUUGGAAGCAAGAGGGUGCCGCAUUGUGUUGGUGCACGCUCAUCACAUGCCUCAACUGAACAACAACAUGCUGCAGCGCCACACACUUGGCAUCAUCACUAGGCGUCAUCAGGCAAACUAGCUGCGAAAUUGCAACAGCCAGAGUUUAAGUAGUGGCGUGCCCUCCUGUUUCUUUGAAACAAACAGCCUGAGUUGAAGGUAUAGACCCGGCCAAGACAGAUGUAUGAGUUUCUUCAUGACUUCAGGAAAAGGGAAAUUCAGGUCUCUGCCUUCAGUUUACAAGUGAAGACAGAGAGAAUUCCUUCCUGGAUAAUGGCAUUGGCUAAGCUCGGUCCAAACAAACACAGACGGACUAAAGCUAAAAGGUGAAGAAGAUUAAGAGUGGUUUUGUAACCGUUGCAUCUUUCAGAUGACUCCUUGGCUUCACACUCUUGGCUGGAACCAGAGACGAGCACUUGCAGAUAUAUUAUUUUUAUUGACAUCUUUUAUGUGAUGAUUAGUGAAUCGAGAAGUAGAUUGAUUCCUUUCAACAGUUGCAUCUAUCUACCAUCAACAUCACAUGAUAGAACCAUCAACAUCACAUGAUAGAAUUACCCACAAUAUUCACUUAAUUUUAGACCUGGAUAUCAACCACAUUCCCCACCAGGCCAUUCUGCUCGGCCGUUCCUGCUGAGCCAGAUGUUUCCAAAUACGUCGUGAAACUUUGGAGCUUCAAUGCCCAAACUCCUGAAGAAUUGGGUGAUCAUGGAUUCAUGGCUGUCUCUCAUUCUUCGAACCUUCGCCUAGGAAUCCGCUGUGUUCCUUCGUAAUCUCCACUGGCUUAGCAAUUUCAUUGCCAGCUCUAUGAAUGAGCAUCUCAUGGUUUCAGACUUUCAGUCAGGCUUCUUCUGUCGACCACGAUUGCUUGGAACGUGAAUAUUUGGACAUGUAAAUGGAUCAUUUUCUUGGUUUAGCAGCAGCAACGAGGCACCUGAGACCUGAGCUGCAAGAAAUCCUCACCCCUGCAGCUCAACCUGCUUAGUUCAGAAAGAUCUUGGGGUCUCCGGUCAACCACGACGGCCGCUUUGCUAAUCUGCAGAAACCCGCCGGACGGCGCGAUGGGAGGACCCAUCUCGUUCUGUACGUCGGCACACCCAAGUUGGGCAGACGAGCGCGCGCGGCGGAUUGGAUCGUCGACAUGGGAGCCGGCGAAGCGAAUGACGGGGUUCCUUGCCGGCGGCCGCACAGCACCCACUGAAUCUCCGGCAUCUCCUGCGGGACGGGGACGAAUUGUGAAGAGAUGAUUCUAGAGUUUGAGGCGGAAGGGUUGGGCUGCGCAUUGCGCUCGCACUGUACGGGAGGUGCGCGGCUGCCGGCGCCGGCGGAUCGCCAUCAAUAAUCCAAGCUGAGGGAGGGGGAAGAGGGCUUUUACGUAAACUACCAGGGGUGUUUUAUACAAAAUAUUGGAUCGUUUCGCGAUCCAAAAUGGGGGUUUUAUGUAAACUUCUGGUCCUGAUAUUUUCACACGAGCUCCUAAUUUGGAUCGUGACUAUUAAUCGUAUCCAAAAUAGGGGGGUUUAUGUAAAAUACUGGACCACUAUUUUUCAUAAAACCUCCUAAUUUAGGUCGCGACUAAAUCGCGAUCCAAAUUAGGAUCUAAUCUGUAAAAUUUUGUCAGCCAUAUUGCGGCGGCGGUUGCCGGUGACCCGACGCCAACCCCGUCGUCAAUUCAUCAUCUAUCCAGCGUCACCGUCCCCGUCGGACGUGCGACGGGGCAAAUUCACCGCAUUGGCCUACCUCAUUAGCGAAAGGUCCUUGUCAUCCUCCUUGUACCAGUAGGGUGGUAAAUGACCUUCUAAUUUAACAUAGCAAAUUUAAGGAUCGGGUUCAAUAAAGAUCAGGUCAUAAUAUUAUAUGAUUAGGUCAUAAUAUUAUAUGAUUUUGAACCGUAUACUGAGUUGGAUGGUGAAUAAAGCAUGAGGGUCAUAAUCCGUUACCACCCCUAGGUACUAUGCGGCGGAGAGAUUGUACGCUCAUCCAGGAGGAGGUCGCCUGCGAGAUUGUAACUCCAAGUAUAUUCCAUCGGCAGCUCCAAGUAUGGCAUUCACAUUCACAUAAUGUUUGUGGAGCUAGAACUGCAAAUAGCAAGUGAACGAAAUUGGGGCCACGGACAACUCCAAGAGACAGGCAAGGAUCUCUACCGUCUCAUUUCUAGUGAAAACAUGAGUUCUAAAGCAAAAUCCACAUGGGUUUCUCAAUAUUUAUUUGUCAGAUCAGGUACUGUAGGAUUCUGGAUUGUAGAUUUGAGCAGCCAUACAAUUGAUAACAGCAUCAGGAGAGAGCGGCCAACAGGUUAAGCUUUUAGGAACAAUCACAAAAUUGGUGAAUAUCAGGGUGUGAAGCAAUCAUAAAUCAACCAAGGAGAUUCAAAUAUCAAACUGCAGUCAAUUGCAAAGGAAAGACGAGGGUUUAUUAUAGAAAGUGGGAGCCUGGACCAGAAAUAUAGGUGUCUCUUCCGAUGAUAAGAGCUGGCACAGAAAAGAAUUUGGUACUGACACAAAAAUACGGACCUGGAUCGGAUGCAGUGAUAAAUGUUACUGCAACUUAGGGGCUGUUUGGCAAUUGGUGUUAAAAUUUAACACCCAUCACAUCGGAUGUUUGAAUGCUAAUUAGGAGUAUUAAAUAUAGGCUAAUUACAAAACUAAUUGCACAGAUGGAGUGUAAUUCGCGAGAUGAAUCUAUUAAGCCUAAUUAGUCCAUAAUUUGAUAAUGUGGUGCUACAGUAACCAUUUGCUAAUGAUGGAUUAAUUAGGCUUAAUAGGUUCGUCUCGCGAAUUAGCACGGGGUUCUGCAAUUAGUUUUAUAAUUAGCUCAUGUUUAGUUCUCCUAAUUAGCAUCCGAACAUUUGAUGUGACACUGUUAAAGUUUAGCACCUCGUAUCCAAACACCCCCUUAGGGUGCGUUUGAUAUCAUGCGCUAAUUUAGUCCUGUCACAUCGGAUAUUCGGAUGCUAAUUAGGAUGUUUAAAAAUAUGAGCUAAUUACAAAACUAAUGGUUAAAUCGCGAGACGAAUUUAUUAAACCUAACUAAUUUAUCAUUAGCGAAUGAUUACUGUAGCACCAUAUUGUCAAAUCAUGGACUAAUUAGGCUUAAUAGAUUCGUCUCGCGAUUUAGCUUAGGGGUUGUACAAUUAAUUUUGUAAUUAGUCUAUAUUUAAUACUCCUAAUUAGUGUCAAAUAUCCGAUGUGACAGGGGCUAAAGUUUAACGCUAGUCUCCCAAACACCCCCCUAAGCAGUAUCACUAACAUCUGCCGUCCAACAACCACUCAACGCUCCGGAUUGAAUGUCCUUCUCAAGACUCUUCUUCCUCCUCCAUCCACUGCAUCCAUCCUACGGCGAUUUGGCUCACUCAGUCCAUACACAGCACCAAAACGAAAUCACUCUAAGAAGCCAUGGGUAAGAGAGAGGAUGUAUGAGCAGCUUGGCUAAAACUCUCUACUCCACGUACAGAUUCUCCUCCUUCUCCCCUCCAUGAACCAAUUCUUCUUUGUUUCUCUAUUGACUUAAAUCAGAAAACAAGAAACAAAAAAAAAACAAAGAAACGUUACAAGAACAAGAACACCGUCCCCUGUUACAUGCAUUCAUUUCAUUGGCUGCUCAAAUCCAUCGGAUCACCAAGCCAUUCUCAUCAGCUUAGCUUCCUCAGAAGUCAAAAUGGCAGCUCUUGGCGCUCAUCCUGUAAAUCUUAAGCACCUCCAGCACCAUCUGCCUCACCGCCGGUGAGGACCAGCUUUGCAUCAGCAGCAGCCUCGUCAGCCCGCCCUCCUCCGUCGCCUGGUGGUCUCGGUAUCGGUGGCAGACCGACUAGAGCACGGCCUCGGCGCCGUCGCGCCCGGCCUUCAGUCAUCUUGCCCACCACGACUGGGACGUCCUCGCACAGUGCGGCACGGCCCUCGGUGCACCCGACCGCGAACUCGAGGAUCCAAAGCGUCUUUUGCGAACUCGGUGAACGGAGGAAGAAGAAGAGUCUUGCGAGGGGAAAGAAGCAGAGGUGGGCCAGCUGUUGAUCCAGGACGUGCGUUAGUUGUUGGAUGGCGGAUGCUGGUGCUACUGCUUAAAGUUGCAGUAACAGUUAUCACUGCACCCGAAGUUCACCGGUUCUAAGAUAAAUGCUGCAGAUGCCCAUGGGGUAUAUCAAUCCGUUGACAAAUUAAGGAAAUCAGUUUCGUAAUCACUCUUUCAAGUAAAACUUUUUAACUUGGCGAUGAGACCAAGUUCAAUUGAAAUUUGAAUGAUACAAAAUGAGCCACACAGAUGCUGUUACUCUCUUCGUGGUGUGUAUCAGUACGAUCAACCUCUCACUUCAUCAGCAAAACUACAGAUCCUACCAACAAAAGAAUCAUCAGGCUGAACGGCUGGACCGGAGCGGCCCAGUUGGAUCCCGGCGUAGCCGGCGAGUAGUCGCCGGAGCCCGUGCUGGUGCUGAGCACGACGACGACCCAGUCCCCCUCGUUGGCGAUCCCGACGCCGGAGAACUGGCUGUCGUUCAGGAACCGGUUGUACUGCGACUUGGUGUAGUUGGUGAGCACGACGCCGGGGACGAGCCCCGGCACGCACGCCGGCAUCACCUGGCCGUCCUCGGUCACCGACGCGUUGAGGUGGCAGUGGUCAAGGUACUUGGGGUAGUCCGGGAACUGCUGCUCGGUGCCGAUGACGGUGUUGGCGCCCGUCGUGUUGGUGCACUGCUGCCCCUUGAACUGCUUCGCGAGCUGCUCGGCGAGGCACGCCGCGUUCUUGUUCUCCGUCAGUGCCGGGACCUUGAGCGAGGACCUGUAGCUGUUGAUGCCCUUGAGAAGCUGAGCAUCGUUGCCUGAAAAAGAGGAAUCAGUAUAAGAAAACGAUACACAAUUUCUCAAUUUCAUGUAUGCUGCCACAUCUGAUCAAAGUGAUUGCACAUAUAGCAUACAUGAAAUUUCUAGAUUUUUUAUUUGUGUGUGCAUGAGUUCACGAGAUCUUGAAUUUAAUCGUUGAUCUCCAAACAUUGCAAUUGUAGUACUAAAGCAACAGCUUGUUCAUUUUUCUAUUCAACAGUAGCUGAGGUAAAUGCACUUGAAAUUGCACCAUGUGCCUCCACUCCAGUACACUUGGCACCAACUCAAUCAGUAGCAUUAGCGAGUGAUCCAUUUCAUAAUGCGAUGCAACAUGUGCAGCAGGUAAUAUUAUAUAGAAUUCUUGUUUGUUACGCCAAUGACACCUCUGAAUAUCAGAUCUUGCACGCACACGCACAAAGGCGAAUUAUAGCACUAGAAUAGUGGAUCUACCGAUCGCACAUUGAAGAAAAAGCAUGGGUCAACAACAUUUCCAGUGCAGCGGGUGACUCAAACCUGCCAAGCAAGACAGCUUGCGCACAAACAGAGAAAUGGAAUGGGGAAUAAACAAGCUCAGAUCCAUCGAAUUGUACAACAGAGGGCCCCACAUCCGAGCGCGACAUCGAAGCCAGCGGCUCUGAUUUCUGCAGCAACCUAGUAGCAUAACGAGACGGGGGAAAGAAAAAACCAGAAGAGGCCAUGAGCUCACCGUCAGAUCUGGCGCAGUGCAGGAGGGAGAAGGCGAGGACGAGGAAGCAGAGGAGGGAGAUCCUGGAAUCCAUUUCUGCUCCUGACCAACACGGUGCUGCGGCAACAGCUUAGCCUGCCUCCAAUGGAAGGAAGAGUGAGGCAGGGGCGACAGGUAUAGGCGGAGGCGCGAGGAGGAAGGAGGCGAGUUGCUGUCACCAACCACCGCCAUUCCCUUUACGCUUCCUUCCGGCCAGCCCCCAAAGCGAUCAUUUCUCAUUAGCGUUUUUCUUUUUGCAAAUUUAUUACACAGGCAAUUAAAUGGGAGUAAGUGAUUUUGAAGGCCACUUUUACGGUAGCCCUUUGUGGACAAUUGGUGAUCUGAAUCACUGAAUGUGAAAAGGGUUUCAUUAGCGCCUCUACUACUUUCCUUUGGGGGCUCUGAAAAGCUCACUGAAGCUUUGCAUUUGCUCCUGGUCACAAACAGCAAUAAGAUGGGAUUGGGAACAUGCAGAAAACAUCUCUGAAUCACUCUCAUGAAAGCUCACAGAAGUUCAGAAGAGAUCCCUCUAAUUUUGUGCCUGCAUUUUAAGGACUUUAUUUAAUGCACACUUCCAUCAGUUUCUUUCGGUCUUCCUGGCUACACUUGCUCCUGGUCCUGCACUGCACUGUCGGUGUUGCUCCAUCCAUAGAUAAAGAUUGAAACAAUUUGUACGUCACACCCUAACUAGAGAUACCAAGCCCAUUAAAUAAACAUAAACCAUAGAAAAACAAAUAAAGAACAGGUAAAUGUUUUGGUAGUUCGGCACGGACGUCGGUGCGUUAACUAACGCCGUAGGGACAGCGCACCGUCACGACCAUGAUGUUAUGAUGUUGGAACCGUCAACCGACUGCUUUGCCUCCCUAUACGGCUCCGCACGUGAAAAAAAGUUCGGGCCUGCUAGCGCCGGACAUUUUUUCCCCAUAAGACAAUCCGUUGCAACAUUGCAACAUCAAAAACUUAAAGCUGCAACAUUAAAAAAAUAACUAUGAUGUUUGAUUCUAGGAUAGAAAAUUCCCACCACAACAUGAGCACUAUGUUUCAUACGAAAAUAAUAGUUGCAACAUCGAUAAUUAGCUAUUGAAACAUAUCUCAAGCCGUCCAACUUUUUAAAAUUCCGGACAUCAGAAUCUUAGCAUUACCCAAAAAGCUUGCCAUCUCACAAGACCGACCGUGGAGUUUGUGUGCAAUUUGCCUGUUUGAUCGAAACUCUUCUCAAAAAGAGGUCUAAAUGCCUACCAGAAUUAGGGGAUGCUACAUCAAACUCGUGAGCGGCACUAAGCAUGCCAGGCACCGUUCCCGUUUUCCAGAGGCACUGAAAGAUAGCAAGUAACAGUUCUAGAUUUUAUAUCACUGAUCACCUAAGUUCAUGUUGGCGAUAAGCUAAGUCAAUACAGCAGUCAACACAGGGCUGGAUGACACCCCUGCUUUAUCUACAUGACACGAGUUCCUAGUCUCUACCAGAGUUGCCGGAAAAGGCGAUAUGUACAGCAUCUACGAACAAACUACCAGAUAUGCUACUAUAAAUCAGAAUCGACUGAACACACGCCGGCUGUUGGUCAGGCUACGAUCACCAGAAGGGCAGGGGGGCUACGAUCACCAGAAGGGCAGGGGGCUGGGCUGACUUCAGAACCACGGGUGCCAUGUCGGGUCCAUCAUGCACAAGUUCCUCGAGGAUAAUGCCGCUUCUACCAGAUCUGUGACGCCUCUUUGGACCGACUGAGGUGGCUCAGUUGCGUUCUCCUCCUGAUACAAGAGAAUGGAUCAUCAGAUGUGUGACUUGAAUGUUCUGCAUCUAAAUUCUUAUAGGCGGCAGAAGCAUAUACUAAAUAGCAGUAAGAAUCAUUGUUUACAUUCAAAAAGAAUAAUGUAGCAUUGUCCAACUAUUUUAUCUGGAUGCUAGCACAUUGUAGCAGCUACUGAGCCAAAUGAAAAGGUGGGGCUGAGGAUUGAUGAUAUUAGAAUUUCAUCAAAAUAACCUGAUCCUCUGGUCAAUAGAUGUUGCCUUUGAAAAAACAGGUACUGUGGAAUGUCACGUAACAAAUUUUAUUCUAUGUUUGCAGAAGGCAAAUCAGCAGCACCCACAAAAAAAAAGAAAAAGAAAAAAGG
rnacentral:lncRNA from 1 species